rnacentral:lncRNA from 1 species
CCAUACCUCUUCUUAACAAACUCCAAAACCUAGAGUACCUUUUUCUAGGAAGCAACCUUUUGCAAGGUGUUAUUCCCGACGCACUUACAAAUUGUUCUAAUUUAGUUACACUAGAUCUCUCUGGAAACAACCUCAACGGUCUCAUUCCUCCUAGAAUAAGCUUUCUUACCAAACUAGCAUAUAUCAUCCUUUACAGUAAUCAUGUCACUGGGGAGAUACCAGCAUCCCUCAGAAACAUCACAAAUUUACAACUAGUCUAUUUUUCAAAAAAUCAGCUCAAUGGUAGAAUUCCCGACGAGGUUAUGCAAAUGCGAAACUUAAUGGAGUUGCACCUAGACCAAAAUAACCUAUCAGGUAGUAUUCCUGAGGUUUGGCAAAUGCCAAACAUAUUGCUGUUAGACCUAAGCAUAAAUAACCUCUCAGGUCGAAUCCCACGAGCUCUAUCUAAUGUAUCUUCUCUUCAGGAAUGGUCCUUGGCAUCAAAUAUGCUAGGCAGCACAUUACCAUCUAACAUUGGAGAUGCUCUACCGAAUCUCAUGAUUCUAUACUUGGGUGAGAACUAUUUCGAGGGUCACAUUCCAGCUUCCCUAGGAAAUCCUCCAGGUCUACGAGAGAUAGAUCUCUCAACGAAUUAUUUCACCGGCCAAAUCCCAAAUUCUUUGGGAAACCUUUCACUGCUGUCUUCUCUGAACCUUGAUCAAAACAUGCUUCAAUCAACAGACAAUGAAGGUUGGGAAUUCAUCCAUGCCCUGGGAAAGUGUAGAUCUCUAAAAAGACUUUCAUUGUCUAUUAAUAGGCUACAGGGAGCCAUACCAAAUUCUAUUGCAAACCUGUCCAGCACUCUUACAUAUCUGCUAAUGUCUGAAAACAGUCUAUCAGGAACAGUUCCCCCACGUAUUGGAAAAUUUAGUUCCUUAAUUCAACUAUCACUAGAUCAAAACAAUCUUACCGGUACAAUUGAAGAAUGGGUCGGAAAUAUGACAAAACUAGAACGUUUGAAUCUCCAAUCAAACAGCUUUGUCGGGAUAAUUCCACCUUCCAUUGGCCAACUUAUACGGUUGAAAUAUUUAUUUCUUGAUGAAAAUCAAUUCACUGGGUUUAUACCACCUAGCUUUGGAAACCUUAAAUCAUUGUUGCAGCUGCACCUUAGCUACAACAAUUUCAAAGGGGGCGUACCAUAGAGUUUUUGGAAAUCUUAUGAAUCUCAUACAUUUGGACCUUAGUAAUAACAAUCUACAAGGUGGGAUACCCUAGGAGAUUGGUAACCAAAAACAACUUGACAUCCUCCUCCUGUCAUCAAAUAAACGAACUGGAGAAUUUCCAGCUACUUUAGGCCAAUAUCCAGUCUUCACUAACCAUCAAAUGGACCUUGCAUGGAAACACUAAAUCAUUCCCAUAACAACUUGUCAGGUCACAACCCUUUGGCUCUAAGUGAUCUACAGUUUCUUAGUGUGCUAGACCUUUCAUAUAAUCAUCUCGAAGAAGUACCAAGAAAGGGAGUAUUUGAAAAUGCUAUAGCUGUUUAUCUUGACAGCAAUUGUGGACUUUGUGGAGGAGCAAAGGAUCUCCAUAUGCCUUUGUGCCAUAUUGAUUCACCAAGAACAGAGAAUCGGUACUAUUUGGUCAAAGCAUUGAUACCACUGUUUUCCUUCAUGUCAACCCUACUGUUGAUUUACUUCAGAAGAAGGGAUCAAGAAGGGCAUAUUUAUGGCUGCCAACCUUUGGGAAAAAAAUUCCCUAAUGUUUCUUACAGGAGUCUAGCUCAGGACACAGGGAACUUCUCUGAGUCUAACUUGAUUGGAUAUGGAGGCUGCAGUUUAGUCUAUAAAGGGAGGUUAGUCCAAGUUAAAAUGGAGGUGGCUAUCAAGAUUCUUGACACUGAAGAGCAAGAUGCGGAGAAAAGCUUUCUAGUAGAGUGUGAACUUCGGAGAAGUAUUCGCCACCGAAAUAUUCUACCUCUCAUAACCACAUGCUCCACAAUUGACAAUAAAGGCAAUACCUUCAAAGCUCUAAUUUAUGAAUUUAUGCCUAAUGGAAACAUGGACACUUGGCUGCAUUAUCAAGGGGACGGCAGAACUCCAGAAUGUUUAGGCUUAUCUCAAAGAAUAAAUACAGCUAUUAACAUAGCCGAUGCAUUGGCCUACUUACACAAUGACACUGGAAGGCCCAUUGUCCAUUGUGAUUUAAAGCCUAGUAAUAUCCUGCUAGAUGUUCAUAUGAAUGCUUACUUGGGUGAUUUUGGCGUCGCAAGGUUACAUAUUGAUUCUAAGUUGAGAUCAGUUGGCGAUUCAAGCUCAGCCUGUUCAACGAGUGCAAAAGGAACUAUAGGGUAUAUGGCUCUAGGUAGAACUUUAUCCUUCUAGGAUUUUUACAAAUUAUAUUAACAUGAACCAUAUUUUGCAAGUUGUUAUGCACUGAUUAUCACUUUUAUGUCUAUGAUUAGAGUAUGCAGGAGCUGGUAAUACAUCAACUUUUGGAGAUGUUUAUAGUUUUGUAAUAGUACUUCUUGAGAUGCUGACAGGCAAAAGACCAACAGAUCACAUGUUCAGGAAUGACUCACCAUUAUUAGCUUUGUGUGGAAAGGUACUUUCCCAAUCAGAUACUAGAUGUUGUCGAUACUCAUUUGCUAGAAGAAUCCAAGGCGUUCAUCGAAGCAACUGCGGCGACAGAAAAUCUUAAGAUCUUCCUGUGCUUGUUGUCUUUGCUACGAGUAGCACUUAUUUGUACACGCCAAAACCCAAGAGAACGAAUUAACAUGAGAGAAGUAGCAGCCAGAUUAAGUGCAAUCAAGAUGUCAUACGUGGGACUGUGGGAGGAAGAGUUAAGGGCUAAACUUCGUUCAAGAGACUCAUAAGUUGGGCUUCUCACAGGAGUUGAAGGAAGAAAGAAAAUGGUAAAAGUUUAAGCUUCUCGAUACAAUAGGGACUCUGCUUGUAGAACCAAAUUUGAAGAUUUUUGAAUGCUUUAGUGAAUUGAUUGAGUUAUACAAAAACAGCUUCAUUGGUCAAAUUCCUAUUUCUCUUGGCAAGCUCAUUAGCUUGCGCACUCUAUCCCUUGGGAGAAACAACCCUAGCUUGAAGCAAACGACAACCAAAGCUGGGAAUUCUUUGAUGCGUUGAAAAAUUGUAGCCUUCUACAAUAUCUCAUUCUAGGCAACAACCGACUAUAGGGAGUUAGAACACCUUCGGUUGGUAGCCUAACCACCAAUCUUAUAGUAUUACAAUUAAAUUGGAACAACCUUUCGGGAAUAGUUUCGCCAAGAAUACGAAACCUUUCCGGUUUAAUUCAACUAGGAUUAAGCUACAACAAUUUUACUGAACAAAUGAAUAAUGGAUUGGAGGAACUCUUAAACAUAUCUAGCUAUAUCCAUUGGAACAACUUUGAUGGGCCAAUUAUUCUCUACGACGUAUUACUCAGUUAGAAAGACUCUUACUACCAGAAAGUGAAUUUGAUGGUUCAAUACCACGUAUAGCUUAGGAGACCCUCAACAACUUUCCUGGUUGGGCCUUAGUAAUAACAAUCUUCAAGGAAACAUACCUCCCCAGCUUGGCAGCCUUAAAAAACUCACUGAUCUUCAUCUUCAAUCAAGCAAACCCACUAGGCCCCAUAGACUGCCAAGUGAGCUUCUGUCCCGUGAUCUUUUUUCCAGAAACUCCUUUAUGUCUGUGUUCUGUUGGUUAUCAGACUGCUUUGCUGAUGUUGCUUCUCCAUACAAAUCAUAUAUUCAUAUCCAAGAGGAAAUAUCAAAAAUGGAGUAUUUGCAUAUGCGACAGCGCUGUUUCACUAGAUAGCUAUUUAGGACUCUGUGGAGGAGUUACUAAUCAUCUGAAUAUGCUCUCAUGUCCAGCGGUUUCCCAGAGAAUACAAAGCCGAUAUUUUUCUAAUAAGAGUACUGAUCCAAGUAUUUGGCUUCAUGUCAAUUAUGUUGUUGAUCUGUACAUUGACGGACAAGAAGGUUCCAAGUAAAAUAUAUUUAUUGUUGCAGCAUUCAUUUGGCAAGUAGUUCCUACAAAGAUCUAGCUCAAGAGACAGCAAACUUUUUUCUGGAUCGAACCUACUUAGGAGAGGAAGCUAUGGCUCUGCGAUUGCUAUCUCUAGUGCAGAUCGCUCUUUCUUGCACUCGUGUAUUCCCAAGAGAAACAAUAUUGAACAUGAGAGAAGUUGCCAGUAAGUUGCAAUCAAUCAGAAUGACAUACGUGGGAUCGACCAAGAGAAAACAAGUCCUGAUUCAUAUUUAGUAGAGUAUUUUACAAUGUGACAGGAAUAUUCUGUAGGCAGUUUAGGUUCUCUUUGAAUGCAAUGGGCACAAAGUUGGUAAUUCAGCCUAUGAUUUCGCAUGUUAAAAAAGAACAAGAUACCCUGCUACUGCUAAGCUGCAGCCUGUUGGUGGUGAAUGAUGAACAGUGUCCAAUACCAUCAUAUUAAGAUUUGGCUUUUGAGCAUUUGGAAAAUUGGAUUUGAUAAAGUAUCAGUAAGUUGACAAAGUAUUCAGAUCGCUUCUAUGGUAGCGUGUGACUGUAACACUGAGUGGUGUUUUAAACCGACGUUACAUGGAUACGUCAGGGAGGUGCCGUAUCCUGUAUUGUAUACGUAUCCAUAUCGGAUACGGCCAGGAUACGUGAUGGAUAAAUAUAGUAAAUGUUGAUACGUGGGCCCACACGUAUCGGGCUGAUUUUGCGAUACGGCCUAGUCCAAAUCCACCUCUUAUCCACACACCUGCUACCUACUCGCUACAGCCCCCACCCCGACAUCCUCACGCAUUGCGCUGCCGGCCCCUCGCUCCCCCGCACGGUGGUCACAUGAGCGCCUCCACCUGCUGGAGGGGGCACCAGGCCGGCGUCCGCCAGAGAAGGACCUCUGCCAGGGGACGCUCCGUAGCUCUGAUUUGCCUGCGAAGAAGCUCUGCAGCUCUGACAACCAAGCUCACGACGGAACUAAUUGCCAAGGCGGCGACAUUCUGUGAGUUUCUUCCUCAUCAGCUUGUUUGGUGGCUCUUCCCUUUCUCGAUCUACAUUUGUUCUUCGGUUCUUGAUAUUUUGCUGCUCAAUUUUCCGAUUCCCUUCCUCAUCCUAAUCUUUCGCCAACAGAUAGCAGCACCAAAUUCGAGCGUGCUAGUUCUACUUUUUCUUUGCCUACCGGCUAACGCUCCUCUUUCAAGCAAUAACGAUAAGAAGAACAAGAGUGGAUCCGACCUGCUUCACCAAUUGACAAAUUUUUAGCAUUGCACCUGGUUAUUGUUGUAAAAUUUGUUAUGCAUUAUUUUUAUAUAUUAAAAAAUUGACUAAAUGUAUCGGCGUAUCGUAUUGUUUGGAAAAAUCACGUAUUUGCGUAUCUGUAUCCGUCCGAUACUUUAUGAUAAAUGGAACGACGCAGCUAAUCGACCGCAAGUCCGCAAUCUAGCUAACAACCGCUCGGAUCCCUAAUCCGAACCUCAAACUACAGUCACUCAAAAAGUUAAGGUCGACGAGAUGCUGUGCAUACCGUUAGUGCGGCCGCUGGUCAGCCGCCUGCUUCGCCGUCCGCCGCUGCCCGCAACUGCGACUGCUCCACGCUCUGUCCCAGACGACGCGCGCCGCCUGCGCUCGCGUAGUGGCCGAUUUCUUCCGCAACGGCGCGGUGCCGCCGCGGUGGGACCGUGGGAACCGCUUCGUCGCUUUGUGACCGGUGAGAUUUUGCCAGUCUGUAGCCGUCGUUGGGCAAGAAGGCCGACGAGGCUUUGUUGGCUGGGCCGUUUUUGUUUUUGGGCCAUGGCACGAUGACCCAGUCCGCUCUUCUUUGGAUCUGUUCAUGUCGUGCACACAACAGGUGGCGAAUCAGUUCCAACCUUUUUGUUAGCCUCUUGCUUGCCUCAAGAUUUCCAGGAAUUAAUUCUGGCCCUGGGAUAUAGUAGAAAAUUGGUGCUUAAUGGUGACGAAAUUUCCAGGAAUUAAGGGAGCUCCUGCUCUCAAUCUCCAAGUUCAAUCACUCGAAACAAACAAGCCAUAGAACAUGCAAGGUUAUUCAGCUUCUGCACAUUACCAUAUACGUACUUAUGAACAAUGUUAUCUGAAUACAACAACGUCAGGAGUGCAACUUCUUGUUAAGUCAAAUAAUAACAUUGAUUACUUCACCACAUGCUAAUGUAGCUUCCAAAACAUCGACAAAAAAAUAGUUAAACAUAGCGCAAUACAAUUGUACUGUAGACACAGCUACAGUCGCAAUACAACAAUGUUUAGUUUGGCUUGCACAGAAUUUUUUUCUUGGACGAACGGGCACACAAAACUGUGCACUAUUUCUAUUAAUAUAGAAGGAGUAACAAACGGGCAGCCAUGGAAGGCUCCCUCUCCCUACAUGCUAAAAAAAUGUACAAGUGUAAAAGACUAAAACUGAACAGAAAAUUUGGAUCUAUACACUUCUAGGAUGGUUUAAAUUCACAAAGUUCUUUCUUCAAAGAAUUUAUCCAGAUGCACAACCUUUAACGGACUAGCACAAUAAAACACGAGGUUGUAUAUUUCCUUAAGACAUGAAAGAACGUGGUGUCAUGAAAGAAUUUGCAUCCUCAAACAGAACAAAUGAUGCAUGGAUGUAACUCAUCCUCAGAUCUAGUGUCGCUCAAAUUGAUUGGGGAGGUGGUGACUACGCUUUCGGGCUGCGGCUAACCCUGCUACCCCAUUGGACGAUGCGCUGGCUCCAGAAUGCAAACCAUUAUUGGUGAUACAGUGGUUUCCGUGUGAGCUUUUUUUUUCGGAGCCCUUAUGAACAUGUAGGUGAGGGAAUCAAAGGACGUAGCACAUAGGGGUCGCUCAUGGUUUUGGCGUCGUGUCCGGCGGCCAAAUACAUUCCGUUGCGUGACCACCCUGCGCGAGACGACACUGCACAAGCGGACGCGGCGGCCUCAUGACUCAUGCGUGCAAUGAUCGUUGCACCUCGUUCCCUUGCCGUCGGGAUGCGUGUGAUGAUCGUGACUACGGUUUCUCGCAUACUUCCUCCGUUUCAAAAUGUAGAUUUUUAAUUUUUUUAAGUACAUAGAUUUUACUAUAUAUCUAGACAUUACCGUAUAUUUAAGUGCACAGUAAAAUUUAUGAAAUUAGAAAAAAUCAAAACGAUCUACAUUUUGGAACGGAGGGAGUGGAGAUAGAUGCUGCUAUGCUGCCGCAUGUGCGACGAAGCUAGCUUAUGUACACAGUUUACCCUGUAGCAUAGAUCUCUGGUCAGUAGAUAGAUGUUUUGUUCACGAUUCCCUUAAUUACUGCAAGUGGUGCACAAAUUACGACUAGCGCCCAUAAACCUUCAACAAGAUGCAAGCUGUAUCCGGCAUACCAGGGUGGAGAAUGGCCCUUAUACAGUCGUACUGCUGUACAACCACUGAUUUCACAAUUCAGGACUCACGUCCUAUACUCCAAGUGCCUGAUUUUUUCCUUACCUUUUACUUUUAUUCCAGUCGCCAGCAAGUUAACGGCAGCGGCUCUCUGGUGGAACUUGCCGGGUGGUGGCAAGCCUGGCUGUGAGGGCAGGACCGCAGGAAGGCAGGGCUAGGGAUGCGGGGCGGGUUUUUUUGGCCGCGAACCUGCUGGGUGAGCCCGUACCGUGAAUCCACGUAACCCGCGUAAUUGCAGCGGUCCAAGCGGGCAUGCCCGCCGUACUCAACGGCGCCGCAAGCGUCAUUCAUACGAGCGUGAAAAUUCUUAUCUUCUCCUAAUAGUACAACAGGCCGUCCCUAGUCACUGCUUUGACUUUUUAUCAACCAGCGGCUGGUAUGUUGCUUAUAUAUGGAGCCACGGCAACUUAUGUAACUAGAUUUUGUGUUUGUUGAAGAUUUUUUUACCUCACGAUCUUGUAAUAAGUGUGCACAUGAAUUAGCUCGAUCUAGUUUGAGUUGGGACUCGGAUCAGUCAUGUGUUUGGCUUAAUCCCCUACCGGAAUUUGUAAAGUUAUUAGCAGUUCAUAAUUUUCCUGAACCACAGACAAAACGAUUUGUAGUGAUGCCCAUUGUUUAGCGACGGGCGAAAUUACCACCUGCACCUACAAAACGUGGGGAGGAGGAUUACUGUAGCAUCCGCACCGCCCCUGGAGAAACAUUUGCAGGGACGGGUCACGAGGACCCGCCCCUAGAAAUGGGCACUAUUUCCAAGGGUGGGUGAUGCCGAUACGUCGCCAAGAAUUUUUUACAACAAAAAGAAAAAUAAUUUGCAGGGAUGGGUGAUGGCGUCAUCCGUCCCUAAAAAUCUUUUCUAGGAGUAGGUGAUGGUGUCACCCGCCCCUUUCCCAGGGCAGGUGACUGCUAAUGCCUCCUAUAUAAGGCAGUCCGCACCGGGGACUUAGCCAAAAAUUCACAGAAGCGCGCGGGACGUCGUUAGGCUGCCGAAUUUUCACUUCCCUCCCCCGAUCUGCCGCCCCCUCCCCCAUGGGCUCCACCACCGCAGUGCCUCCCCUUCCCCCCGGGCCACCGCGCCACGCCUCCUCCCCUCCCUCACGGCGCCUUCCUGUCGCGGCGCCUCCCCUCCCCGCUGCCUCCACCGCUGGGCCAUAGCGCUGAGCCUCCUCCCCUCCUCCCGUGGUGCCUUCCCAUUGCGGUGCCUCCUCUCCCCGCGUCUCCCCUCCUGUGCCGCCUCCACCACCAUGCCUCCCUUUCCACGGGCUACCGCCAUAGCGCCUCCCUCCCCCGCGCGCCUCCCUUCCCCGCGGUGCCUCCGUCCACGACCGUCAGUUUCUUAAUUUUAUUUUAUUUUCUUUUUAUUUUUUUAUUUUGAUUUUAUUUUAACUAUGAGCCGUACUCUCUCCGUCCCAAAUUACAAGUUAUUUUGGCCUUUUUAGAUUCAUAGACUUUGUUAUGCACUAAGAUAUACACUAUAUCUAGAUGCAUAAUAAUAUCUAUGCAUCUAGAAAAGCCAAAACGACCUAUAAUUUGGGAUGGAGGAAGUAGUACUUAGUGUAAAACAACAAUUACAAAUUUCUUCCAUUAUCUUAGACAAUCUUUUAUCCUUAGCAUUUCGUGAAUUAUGAUGUUUUACGGCGCAAUUAUUAUUAAAGUUGAUGUUUGUGGAAUAAUCUAUCUUAUUACAAUUUUAUUUGGAUAGUUUGUGCUAAGUAUGGCAAAUAGACAUUCUUUUCGCCACGGUGGUGGCGGUCGUGGAAGUGGCAGGGAACACUACAUUUUCGAGGAGCCACCGUUGGUUCGUCCUCCGGGAAUUCACUUCCCUAAUCGCGUCAUUGACUUGCCUACCGACGAUCGAAGUAAAGGAGCAAUUUCCAAUAUAGUAAUUCCUAAUUUUAUUACACAUGCAUAUAGUUCCCAAUAUAGUAAUAUUAUUUCCUUCUUGUAAUUGGUUGUUUUAUUACACAUUAAUAAUUUCUUUUUACUUACAUACAAUAUAGCUUAUGGACCCUAUUAGAUGGCUCAAAGAUGUUGUCGAAGCUCUAGAUGGUACCACUCCUUUAGUGUAAUCCGAGGUUGGUGGUGCAAGUAAUUUUAUAAGACUAAAGAUCUCUUUUGAAGUACCUGUUCGAGGAGGAUAGGCCAACUUGAUGCGACGACCAGGAUAGGCUAUUCCGAUGGUAUCAAUUGUCGCAUGAGGUAAAGAAGCAGCUUGACUUUUGAAAAGCCCGUCGUAAAGGCAUGCCUACAACAACUGGAUAAUGGGUACUUUAUGCCAGGCUUCUUAUAUUUUCGAAUAAAGACGCUCGAGGAGAGAGAAAGCAAUGUGACUAUGACUACUGUGAGGUUUUAUCAGCUGAAUCAACAUGACAUGGUAUGUAAUAUAUCUAUUCAUUCUUACAUCUUUAGUUAUGUUACAUCUCUCAACUUUCAUCACAUUAUUUUUAUUUUUAGGAUAUCUUUGGUCAAAUAUUUGCGGCAAUGAGAUUUCAUACGAUUCUAGCUCAAGUCUUAGAUGUGUUGAAUUAUAGUUACAUCGAUGGAAACUUGAUACGCACUAGAGAUUUUAAGCUCCAGGCUCAUCUCACUUUCUACAGGCCAUAUGAUUUUACCUCUCCAUUGUUCGAGAUUUAUGGUAGUGUAUGUGAUCAUCCAUACGAAGCGAUAGAGAGUGCACUAAUUCAUGCUCUAGUUUAUAUUGAUGAAGUUCUAGGCUUUAAGAUUAGAGACUUAAACUAUAUUUCAUAUCUAUGAAGCGAAGCUAAGUAUGAAAUAUGUAGCAUGCAUGGAUGCUCUACCCUUUUCUUAUGAAUUUGAACUUGUUCUGUCUAAGACCAAAGUAUUUAUGCAUGAACUUGCAUUAUGAGACUGGUUAUAUAUAUUCUGUUGCAUAUACAAUGUUCUGUGAGUGUUGGAUCUGAAUGGGUUGAUACAUGGGAGAAUCACAUUUUAAAAAUUUGGCGCAAAAAUAGUACAAAAUUUUGGCGGGAACGACAUUUCCAGCGGCGGGUGAUACCAUCACCCGCCUAGUUUGUAAGGGCGGUUCAUGACAUCACCCGCCCUUGAAAAUGUCUUUACAGGGUGGAUCUAUUACACGCUCUUGCAAACAGCUACUUUUAACUGCGAAAAGCAGGAACGGAUAGCAUGCCCGCCUUUACAAAUGCUAUUUCAACCAUCCUUGGAAACCGUUUUUUAUAGUGAUAAAUAAAAAAAUAUUUUUUAAAAAAAGUACAAUAGGCCGUCCUAACCCUACGAGCGUCAUGCGUACGAGCGUGAAGCGUCCCUGCCCUCCAAACCCAGUAGCAAUCACUGUGGCUCCUGAGUGCUGCCCCAAGCUUGAAGCUUCGUAUCCGAAAGUUCUCCUUUGGCCGCACUUGGCAUUGUCCUGCGACCCUGUCUCCCAGUCUGGCAGACCGCCACUGCCUGGCUCGAGCACGGUACCACCAUUCAAGUGAAGCAUUAGUGGUCUCCGUUUCAGCCAUUCUCGAGACCAUCCGAACAGUUAAAUUAGGUCAGGCAUAAGAGGAUAUCAAACGCCUUCCUGGAUCGCUGGGCUUCGUGCCGAAGCCAGCUAGCUACACACCUUUGGCAUCGUCGGGGGCUCAUCCCUGCACAAGAUAGUCGUGCCGUUCGAUCACCAUCCCACGUUGGCAGCCUGGCAGGACGCCCGUGAGGCGAUGAGUCGUUACGCGAGCUUAGACAGGUUAAGUAACUAUAGUAACCUUCUACUGCUUUAACUAACUGAUAAUCACUUCGAAGGAAGAAUACCAGAUUCUAUUCACUAGUAGAGAAUUGGCUUUCGAUCCGCCCCCUUUUGUCCCGGUUUAAAGUUGGCCCGGGACAAAAGGGGGUGCGCCACGGUAGGUAAAAUUGGAGGGGAGAUUUACUCCCGGUUGGUAAUUGCAACCGGGACUAAAGGCCCCACUUUAGUCCCAGUUGCAACGGCUAGCUGGGGGGCGUCGGUGGCGGGACCCUUUUAUCUCAGUUGGAGGAUCCAACCGGGAUAAAAGGUGAACCCUUUUAUCCCGGUUGGAGGCACCAACCGGGAUAAAAAGUUUAGUCCCGGUUGGUGCCUCCAACCGUUGGAGCCUCCAACCGGGACUAAACUUCCAACCAGGACAAAAGGUGUUCCUUUUUGUCUCGGUUGGAGUUUUUAACCGAGAUAAAAACUCAUCCCCAUUAUAUACGGCCAAGACAGAGGACUUUCUUCCUCCUCCAGCCCGAGCCAGUCCAGCACAUUGACAGAGAGAGCUGAGCUUCACCUACUCUCCAGUGGUGCCGAAGCAAGCAAGGAAGGUGCUGCCCGAAGUUUUUUCCCUCAUUUUCGUGGGAAUUUCACUUGGCCAACACAAGUGUUGCGAAGGUUUGCUACUUCAUCCUCGUGUUAUGCUUUGAUUUAUGCUUUGGAGAUGGAAAGAUUAUUUGCUAGAAUGUGAUGAUGAAGUAGAAAAAUGGAGAGGUAUUUUGAGCUAGAAUGUGAGGGAGAUUGAUGUGUCAUAUAUAGUAUGCAUUAUUGCAAUGGUUUAAAAAUGAUGCUACCUUGUCUAGACGGUUUAUCUUAUCAAAUUCAAUAUAGUUUUUUAAAUCCAUACUUGUUGAACUUGCAUACCAUGUUCAUUUCUGCUACGAUGUUCUCCGCCGAGCAGCAACGUAUGUCAAGAAGGAGGUUCGAUUCUACAAGAAAGAGUGGAUACGGACAUCGUGACCGUGUCCCCUUUUCCGUAGCAUCUAACCUCUUUCAUGACGAAGUGCGGUGCUGCCCAGCUGAGGACAUCCUCGCGAAAUGAUCACGGUCUUCAAGUUCAACAACUUCUGUAGUGGUAAGGAAAGAAUUUUUGUACAUAGAUGACUUCUGCUACUUGUUGAACUUGCAUACCGUGUUCAUCUCUCCGAGGAUGUUUUCCGCCGAGCAGCAACGUAUGUCAAGAAGGAGGUUCGAUUCUACGAGAAAGAGUGGAUACGGACAUCGUGACCGUGUCCCCUUUUCCGUAGCAUCUAACCUCUUUCAUGACGAUGUUGGGAUACGAGGUAGGCUACACUAGCGUAAAUCAAAAUUUCUACCGCGUAUAACCAGGAAGAACUGCCGUAUAAGGAUCACGGGAUUACCACUCGACGCACUACUGGUGCGGAAGAUGUAGAUAUGCGUCGAUGCAGUGAAGACGAUCACGUAGUCGUACGUAGUCGAUCAACGUAGUCGUACGUAGUCGAUCACGUCACGUCCAGCAGCUCCCACGUGCAGCAAGAUCGCCUCCGGUGCCGCGGCUCAUCGUGGCUCGUCGAUGGCUCGUCCAAGUGCUGCAGGCGCAACACCUCCAAGGUAUCCACACGUGCAGGGAGGAAGCGUCGCAAGCUGGACUGCUAGAUCCGCGAGUUGCAACAGGCGAGGGCGUGGGAGGCGCGGCAGAUGUGUUUCGCCAAAAGGUGUAAACCCUAGGGCGCCCCCACCCCUCUAUUUAUAGAGGUUCCUGACGGGCCUCUGGAUCCGAGGCCCAUUAGUACUUCUAAAACUAAUCCAACUCGGAUCUGAUCCGAAUUGGGCUUCCAGCCCCUUAAGUGUGUGACCCUAUGGGUUCGGAUACGUAUAGACAUGGCCCGAGUACUCCUACUCGGCCCAAUAGUCGGUAGCGGCCUCUAGCAAGACGUGCCAACUCCUACACGCACACGAAGAUCAUAUCAGACGAACCAUCACAACAUAAUAUACAUGCUAUUCCCUUUGCCUCACGAUAUUUGGUCUAGCUUCAAGCCGACCGCUCUUUCUCGAUCCUGUGAUUCGGAAUCCCUUUGUAGGUUAACUCUUAACCGUACGUAGCAUGGCCAUGCAUUUUCGGAUCCGAUCACUCGAGGGCCCCAGAGAUAUCACUCUCAAUCAGAGAGGGGCAAAUCCUAUCUUGACUGACCAUGUCUCAUAGCAUGCUUCUUGACAAACCCGAAAGCUACCUUUAUAACUACCCUGUUACGGCGUAGCAUUUGAUAGCCCCUAAGUAGGUCGAUCCACAUCUAGAAUACAUGCGACAGUCUCAGGUCUAAGGACAAAGCGUAUAUGUUGUUUAAAGAGAGAACUACUUCUCGUGUUGGGUCAGUCCUAGCACAUGUCUCCACAUGUGUCCACAUUAUCAGUUCAACAUCUCCAUGUCCAUGACUUGUGAAACAUAGUCAUCAACUAAUACAUGUGCUAGUCUAAUAUUCAUGUGUGUCCUCACAUGAACUCCGACUAGGGACAACUUUAGAAUAACCAUACAAGUAAAGAGUUUCACAUACAAUUCACAUAAUUGCAAAUCAAUUCAAGUAGCCUUUAAUGGAUAUUCAAUGAACACAAUAUACAAAUCAUGGAUACAAAUGGAAUAUCAUCAUCUCUAUGAUUGCCUCUAGGGCAUACCUCCAACAGUCUCCCACUUGCACUAGAGUCAAUCUAGAAGGUACCUAAUACCCAUAGCUCUUACAUGCGCAUCAUGCUUAGCCUGCGGGAGUGGUUUUGUCAAUGGAUCAGAAAUGUUCAGAUCCGUGUGUAUUUUGCAUAUCUUGAUCUCACCCCGGUUAACGAAGUCUCGAAUGAGAUGAAAUCGCCGCAUUACGUGUUUGUUCUUCUGGUGGUUCCUUGGCUCCUUUGCUUGCGCAAUUGCCCUAUUAUUAUCACAGUAGAGAUUCAAUGGGCUGGACGCAUUCGGGAACACACCAAGCUCAAUGAGGAAAUUCCUUAUCCAAACACCUUCCUUCGCGGCUUCCAAAGCCGCGAUGUACUCGGCUUCUGUCGUAGAAUCGGCCACCGUCUCCUGCUUGGAACUCUUCCAACUAACAGCACCACCAUUUAGCGUGAACACAAAUCCUGAUUGUGACUUUGAAUCAUCUCUGUCGGUUUGGAAACUAGCAUCGGUGUAACCUGUUACAACGAGCUCCUCCUGACCUCCAUAGACGAGGAACAUAUCUUUAGUCCUUCUCAAGUACUUAAGAAUGUUUUUCACCGCUGUCCAGUGACUCUCACCUGGAUCAGAUUGGUGUCUGCUUGUCAUACUUAGCGCAUAUGAAACAUCUGGGCGAGUACUUAUCAUUGCAUACAUGAUAGAUCCAAUAGCCGAGGCAUAUGGCACUCUACUCAUGCUAUCCCGCUCAUCAGCAGUCGAAGGACACUGAGUCUUGCUGAGAUGUAUGCCAUGUGACAUAGGCAAGAACCCUUUCUUUGCCUCUUCCAUGCUGAACCGCUUCAACACUUUGUCAAUAUAAGUAUCUUGGCUCAAACCUAUAAGCCUUCUCGAUCUAUCUCUAUAGAUCUUAAUGCCCAGAAUAUAUGCCGCUUCCCCUAAGUCCUUCAUCGAAAAACUAUUUUUCAGUGAAGUCUUUACGGACUCAAGCAUAGGAAUGUUAUUUCCAAUCAGUAAUAUGUCAUCCACAUAUAAGAUUAGAAAUACUACAGAGCUCCCACUAACCUUCUUGUAAACACAAGACUCUUCUUCGUUCUUGGUGAAGUCAAACCCUUUGACCACUUCAUCAAAACGAAUGUUCCAACUCCUAGAUGCUUACUUCAAUCCAUAAAUGGAUCUCUGAAGCUUGCAUACCUUUCCAGCAUUUUUCGGAUCGAUAAAACCCUCGGGCUGUAUCAUAUACACGUCCUCAGCUAGGUUUCCAUUCAGGAAAGCUGUCUUGACAUCCAUCUGCCAUAUCUCAUAAUCGAAAUAUGCAGCUAUAGCUAGAAUAAUCCAAAUGGACUUAAGCAUCACUACGGGCGAGAAGGUCUCGUCGUAGUCAACUCCUUGAACUUGUCAAAAACCUUUUGCGACAAGUCGUGCUUUAUAGAUGUGAACAUUUCCAUCCAUGUCCUUUUUCUUCUUAUAGAUCCACUUGCACUCUAUGGCUUUAACACCAUCAGGUGGGUCAACCAAGUUCCAAACUUGAUUGUCUCCCAUGGACUCUAUUUCGGAUUGCAUGGCACUCUGCCAUUUUUCGGAGUCUGGGUCCAUCAUUGCUUCUGCAUAUGUCGCAGGCUCAUCAUUGUCCAACAAUAAUAUUUCCCGCAUUUCGCGGAGCCUUGCCGACCUUCAUGGUUGUGGCGGUGCUUCUCUUGCCAUGGGUAUCUCAACUUGUUCUGCUACGUCAGCAUCACUCAUUGGUUCUUGCCCGAUUGGCUCAUCUUGAACUUCUUCAAGAUGCACUGUCUUUCCACUCUUUUCUCCUUUGAGAAACUCUUUCUCUAGGAAAACCCUGUUCCGAGCGACAAACACUUUGCCUUCUGAUCGGUUGUAGAAAUAAUAUCCCAAAGUUUCCUUUGGAUAUCCCACGAAAAUGCACUUAUCCGACUUGGGUGUGAUCUUGUCCGACUGAAGUCGCUUGACAAACACUUCACAUCCCCAAAUCUUUAGAAAAGACAAACUAGGAACCUUUCCAGUCCAUAUCUCAUAUGGUGUCUUAACUACGGAUUUAGAUGGUACCCUAUUAAGUGUGAAAGCUGCUGUUUCUAGAGCGUAUCCCCAAAAUGACAAUGGUAGGUCCGAAUGGCUCAUCAUUGAUCGAACCAUGUCUAACAAAGUUCGAUUACGUCGCUCGGACACACCGUUUCUCUGAGGUGUUCCAGGCGGCGUAAGUUGUGGAACAAUUCCGCAACUCUUUAGAUGAUUGCUAAACUCGUGGCUCAAAUACUCGCCUCCACGAUCAGAUUGUAAGGCCUUAAUUUUCUUGCCACGCUGAUUUUCAACUUCAUUCUGAAAUUCCUUGAACUUUUCAAAGGUUUCAGACUUGUGCCUCAUCAAGUAGACAUAGCCAUAUCUACUAAAAUCAUCAGUGAAAGUUAUGAAGUAUUGGAAUCCUCCUCUAGCCGUCAUGCUCAUUGGUCCGCAUACAUCACUAUGUACGAGUUCCAACAAGUCUACUGCUCUCUCAGGAAAUCCUGUGAAAGGCGUCUUGGUCAUCUUGCCUAGCAAGCAAGCCUCACAUGUCUCGUAUGAUUCAAAAUCAAACGAAGUUAGAAGUCCAUCAGAAUGGAGCUUCUUCAUGCGCUUUUCACUUAUAUGACCCAAACGACAAUGCCACAAGUAGGUAGGACUCAAAUCAUUAGGCCGAGGCCUUUUAGCACUUACAUUACAGACAGGUGAACCAUCAAGAUUUAAAACAAAUAAUCCAUUCACAAUGGGUGCAAAAGCCAUAAACAUAUUAUUCUUAGAGAUCACACAACCAUUGUUUUCACUCGCAAAUGAAUAACCAUCCUUCAUCAAACAUGAAGGAGACAAAAUGUUUCGACUUAAACUAGGAACAAAAUAACAAUUAUUCAACUCCAUAAUAAAUCCUGACGGGAGGUGGAGUUGCAUCGUCCCGACGGUCAACGCAGCAACUCUUGCAUUAUUGCCCACGCGGAAAUCAACUUCUCCUCUUUCCACGCUUCUACUUCUUAUCAUUCCCUGCAUUGAAUUGCAAAUAUGAGCAACCGAUCCGGUAUCAAAUACCCAAGAAUUAAUAACUGUAUCAGUGAGAAAUAUGUUGUCUAUAACAUUAACAACAAGCGUACCUGAGGUAGAAGUACUCUUACUUCCGCCGUUCUUCAACGAAGCUAGGUACUGCUUGCAGUUUCUCUUCCAGUGACCAAGUUCAUGACAGUAAAAGCACUCUUUAUCUGGAGCAGGUCCAGCUUUAGCCUUGGGCGCUGGGUUUGGCUUGGACACUCCAGCCUUGCCCUUCUUCUUCCAAGAAUUGCCCUUCUUCUUAAAGGUAGGCUUGUUCUGUACAGCCAUCACAUGGCUGGUACUAGCGCUUUUCUUAAUGUCUACCUAUGCUGUCUUGAGCAUACCACACAGUUCAUUCAGACCCUUCUCCGUCCCAUGCAUAUGGUAGUUCGAGAUGAAGUUCCCAUAGCUAGGCGGAAGAGAUGAAAGAAUGAAGUCAGUGGCCAAAUCUUUGCCCAUUGGGAAGCCCAGCUUCUCCAAUCGCUGAGUGUAACCAACCAUCUUGAUUACAUGUGGUCCUACUGCUGCGCCUUCUGCUAACUUGCACUCCAGAAAGGCUUUGGACACAUUGAACCUUUCGGUCCUAGCCUGUGUCUGGAACAUGUCCUUGAGCGCCAUGAUCAUAUCGUGUGCCUCAUGAUUUGUUUCGAACUGCAUCUGCAGCUCGGGUUCCAUGCAAGCAAGCAUAAGGCAGCUUACCUCAAGAUUAGCAUCAAAUGCCUUCUUGUAAGCAGCCUUAACGGCAGCAGAUGCAUCAUCAGCAGAUACUGGUGGUAGUGGGGUGUCUAGAACAUCUUCCUUUUUCUCAGCCCUGAGAACAAUUCUUAGGUUAUGGAUCCAAUCCGAGUAGUUUGUUCCAUUCAACUUGUCCUUCUCAAGGACCGAACGCAAAGCAAACGAUGCGGUGGUGUUGCUAGGUGCCAUUUAAUCUACAACAAAAGUAAUGCAAAAUACACUAAGACAAACGUAUCCAUGAUAGAGCAAAUUACAUUAAACUAUUUUAACAGAAUCUACUCCCACUAAAAUCAAUAUCGCUCUAUUGAAACUUAGUGAUUCAGGAUCCACAACUAACAAGUCUACUAGUGAGCUUUAGCAUCACCGCUAGCAAACGAGGUAGAUCGGUAAGCAACUUUUGCUAAUCAUAUCACAUAUGACUCCUGUUGUUGGGUGACAUCUCUAUGUCUCGGCACCCAACCUUUAUGCCCCAAGGUCCUUAACCAUUAAGAUAACCUUGUUAAGCAAACCAACCCUUAUGCGUGUAAGUGUCCGACACAAACCCGUCUAGUCAAGGAAAACUAGUGGCACCCUAAUUUCAUAGACCCACCACUAAUUGUACAAGACAUGGGACGGUGCAAGUUUUAGUUGGGAGGGCAUACUAACUUAAACUUUGUGAGGGAUCGUUCUACUUCUAACAUCACAGCAUGCAGAAAGUAAAACAUAAACAGAAUAGCAUUCACACAGUUGUGACACAGUAUGGCCCGUUUCCAUAUGGUGAUCUCCAUCUCCAUGUUCCAUGUGCGCCAUCCUCCUGGUGAAGAUUCCUCCAAGAACUAGAGCAUGCUAUUACGCCUAAUAGCUAGUAAAGAAUCUAGUAAUGAAGAUUACAUAGUUGCUUGGAUCAUCACAGAUUGGUACGCAGACCAUUAAAUACAUUAAGGUGACAACACAUAUGGCUCAUGCCGUGUUGCCGUAUGCGCGACACGCAGGUCACGAAUGAGUUACACACAUGCAUCACAUACACAAGGGGGCCAUACUGAUCACAAGAUACAUACAUACAUCCUGCAAAACAGAGUUAGACGCCCUAACGUUCCAAACUUCGGAUGCCCGAAACUCCAUCUUCCAAGCCGAAUUUGGGAAAUCUAAUUUCACCAAAAACGACAAAGCGUUGAAUUUCAUGUGUAACUUUUUCUGUAGAUCAAUUUUCGUAUAAAAAUCGCCCCGAUCCGAGAUCGUACCGAAAAGUUACGGCUGAUUUACCGAAGCAUACGCAUACGGCAAAAUCCCAACCUCGGCAGUAGAUCCCAUCUACUAUUGCACAUCUAAUGCGCCUGGCGUAUGACCCUGGAUCUCGAUUCGACCAAUCAUAUUGAUCUUCGCUCACUGCAACUGGAUUUACGUGUAUCACUUAACUCCGAUGGCGGAAACCGACCGGUAGGAGUAUGUCGUUACACUACCAUUGUAGCAAGGGCACGAAACCAGGACAUAGAUCAAACAGAAAACUCGCAUAUCUCCAUAUGCACACAUCCCGAAUCCAAAACUAAGCAGCUACGGCUCUUGAUACCACUGUUGGGAUACAAGGUAGGCUACACUAGCGUAAAUCAAAAUUUCUACCACGUAUAACCAGGAAGAACUGCCGUAUAAGGAUCACGGGAUUACCACUCGACGCACUACUGGUGCGGAAGAUGUAGAUAUGCGUCGAUGCAGUGAAGACGAUCACGUAGUCGUACGUAGUGGAUCAACGUAGUCGAUCACGUCACGUCCAGCAGCUCCCACGUGCAGCAAGAUCGCCUCCGGUGCCGCGGCUCGUCGUCGGCUCGUCAUGGCUCGUCGAUGGCUCAUCCAAGUGCUGCAGGCGCAACACCUCCAAGGUAUCCACACGUGCAGGGAGGAAGCGUCGCAAGUCGGACUGCUAGAUCCGCGAGUUGCAACAGGCGAGGGCGUGGGAGGCGCGGCAGAUGUGUUUCGCCAAAAGGUGUAAACCCUAGGGCGCCCCCACCCCUCUAUUUAUAGAGGUUCCUGACGGGCCUCUGGAUCCGAGGCCCAUUAGUACUUCUAAACCUAAUCCAACUCGGAUCUGAUCCGAAUUGGGCUUCCAGCCCCUUAAGUGUGUGACCCUAUGGGUUCGGAUACGUAUAGACAUGGCCCGAGUACUCCUACUCGGCCCAAUAGUCGGUAGCGGCCUCUAGCAAGACGUGCCAACUCCUACACGCACACGAAGAUCAUAUCAGACGAACCAUCACAACAUAAUAUACAUGCUAUUCCCUUUGCCUCACGAUAUUUGGUCUAGCUUCAAGCCGACCGCUCUUUCUCGAUCCUGUGAUUCGGAAUCCCUUUGUAGGUUAACUCUUAACCGUACGUAGCAUGGCCAUGCAUUUUCGGAUCCGAUCACUCGAGGGCCCCAGAGAUAUCACUCUCAAUCAGAGAGGGGCAAAUCCCAUCUUGACUGACCAUGUCUCAUAGCAUGCUUCUUGACAAACCCGAAAGCUACCUUUAUAACUACCCUGUUACGGCGUAGCGUUUGAUAGCCCCUAAGUAGGUCGAUCCACAUCUAGAAUACAUGCGACAGUCUCAGGUCUAAGGACAAAGUGUAUAUGUUGUUUAAAGAGAGAACUACUUCUCGUGUUGGGUCAGUCCUAGCACAUGUCUCCACAUGUGUCCACAUUAUUAGUUCAACAUCUCCAUGUCCAUGACUUGUGAAACAUAGUCAUCAACUAAUACAUGUGCUAGUCUAAUAUUCAUGUGUGUCCUCACAUGAACUCCGACUAGGGACAACUUUAGAAUAACCAUACAAGUAAAGAGUUUCACAUACAAUUCACAUAAUUGCAAAUCAAUUCAAGUAGCCUUUAAUGGAUAUUCAAUGAACACAAUAUAUAAAUCAUGGAUACAAAUGGAAUAUCAUCAUCUCUAUGAUUGCCUCUAGGGCAUACCUCCAACAGACGAAGUGCGGUGCCGCCCAGUUGAGGACAUCCUCGCGAGAUGAUCACGGUCUUCAAGUUGAACAACUUAUGCAGUGUUAAGAUAAUAAUUUUUGUACAUAGAUGGCUUCUGCUACUGGAGGAAGUGGCGAUGGUGGGGGCGAUCGUGGUUCCUAUUAUGGCAAGGUUCCAAUCAUAGUUGGCCCUCACCAUAAGCCAAAGAAAAAGAGCACGCUAGAAAAAGCAAUGCUUCGUUAUUUGCGGCAACGUCAUGAAGAAGCUGUUGCCGCGGGUCAGGAACCUCCUUUUGGUGGUCGUUAUGCUCCACCCUCAGUCCCGGGUGUUUCACGUCCACUUAGUACUACCGUUUCAGGCGGCACAAAUAAACCUAAGGAUGAGGUGUGGUCAGCGGAACCUUCGUCUUCACCGUCCAAGGAUGCUUAAAGUCCUCCUUGAUAAUAACCAAUGGAUGGCUUGUUGUAUUGUAUCAUGUUGUUUGGGACUUUAAUUUAAAUAUGUGUAUUUGGAUCUUCAUGUUGUUGUAUUGUACCAUGUUGUUUGGAUCUUUAAUCGAUUUUCACGCGUAAUCCAUUGUCAAGUGUAAUCCAUUUUCAUGCGUAAUACGAUGCAGAUGGACCGGCAAUGGAUGUAUAAUGCAGACACGCGGAGCAAGGCGUUUAUUGAUGGCUUGCAUUAUUUUCUCGAAGUGGCAAAAGCGAACAAGCCAGAGAAUGGGUUCGUAUGUUGUCCAUGCUUCCAAUGCAAUAACAGGAAGGAGUAUUCAAAGGAUUCCUGGGGGACUAUUCACAGCCACUUGUUUAAAUACGGUUUUAUGCCUAACUAUUUGGUUUGGACCAAGCACGGUGAACUAGGGGUUGUAGUGGAAGAUGGCGAGGAGGAGGAGGAAGAUCACACCAUUCCGGACUGGGUUGCAGGCCAAGCUUUUGCAGGUACUACAAUGGGCGAGGCUGAUGAAGAUGAGUUUGCGAAAAAUGGCCCUACUGAUGACCUUGGUCAGGUGAUACGAGAUGCAUACAGAGAUUGCGAAACUGAGAAGGAAGCAGCAAAGUUGCAGUGCAUGAUAGAUGAUCACCAAAAAUUGUUGUACCCAGGUUGCCAGCAGGGCCAUAAAAAACUAGGUACGACACUAGAAUUUGUGCAAUGGAAGGCAAAAAAUGGUGUGUCUGAUAAGGCAUUUCAGGGGAUGUUGAACAUUGUCAAGAAGAUUCUCCCCGAGAAUAAUGAAUUACCGUCCACAACAUAUGAAGCUAAACAGAUUAUUUGCCCUCUCGGAUUGGAUGUUCAGAAGAUACACGCAUGCCCUAAUGACUGUAUCCUCUAUCGUGGUGAUGAAUAUGAGAAAUUGGAUGCUUGUCCCGUCUGCGAAGCCCUGCGGUAUAAGAUCAGGCGAGAUGAUCCUGGUGAUGUCGAGGGGCAGUCUCUCAAGAAGAGAGUUCCCGCGAAGGUGAUGUGGUAUUUCCCUAUAAUACCACGCUUGAAGCGCUUGUUCAGGAAAAAGACGAAUGCUAAGUUGAUGCGAUGGCACAAAGAAGACCGUAAGGAAGAUGAGAUGCUGAGACACCCCGCAGAUGGGGCACAGUGGAGAUCAAUUGAUAGAACAUUCCCAGACUUUGAAUGUGAAGCAAGGAACAUAAGGUUUGGUUUAAGCACUGAUGGAUUCAAUCCAUUCGGUGAGUUGAGUAGUGGCCAUAGUACUUGGCCUGUGACCCUUUGUAUGUUCAACCUUCCUCCUUGGCUGUGCAUGAAGCGGAAGUUCAUUAUGAUGCUGGCGCUUAUCCAAGGCCCAAAACAACCCGGCAACGACAUUGACGUGUACCUAAGGCCGUUGGUUGAUGACCUUUUACAGCUCUGGAAGGAAGAAGGUGUACGUGUGUGGGAUGAGGAUAGACAAGAGAUCUUUAAUCUAUGAGCACUGUUGUUCGUAACCAUCAACGAUUGGCCUGCAUUGAGUAACCUUUCAGGACAGACAAAUAAGGAAUAUCGGGCAUGCACCCACUGUUUAGACGACACAGACAGCAUGUACUUGAAGCACUGUAAGAAGGUCGUCUAUAUGGGUCAUCGUCGAUUUCUCCCUGCUCACCACCAGCUGAGAAAGAGCAGGAUGCAUUUCAAAGGGGCGCCAAACCAUCGUAAAAAACCUGCACACCGUAAUGGAAAGCGUGUGUUUGAGAUGAUGAAGGAUGUAAAUGUAGUCUUUGGAAAGGGACUUGGUAGCCAACCUGUUCCGAACGACGAUAACGGACAUGCACCCAUGUGGAAGAAAAAGUCAAUAUUUUGGGAGCUACCUUAUUGGGAAAUCCUAGAGGUUCGCAACGCAAUAGACGUGAUGCACCUGAUGAAGAAUCUUUGCGUGAACGUGCUAGGCUUCAUGGGUGUUUAUGGAACCUCAAAAGAUACAUUGGAAGCACGACAGGACCUGAAAGCCAUGGGGCAACGAGAUGACCUACAUCCGGAAAAGAGAGAUAAUGGACAGCACUACUUACGUCCUGCCAGUUACACUCUCAGCAAGGAAGAGAAGGAUAGCAUGUUUGAAUGCUUGAAUAGUAUGAAGGUCCCGUCUGGGUACUCCUCGAAUAUAAAGGGAAUAAUAAAUAUGAAACAAAAGAAGUUUACAAAUCUCAAGGCUCAUGACUGCCACAUGUUGAUGACCCAGUUGCUUCCGGUUGCACUGAGGGGUGUUCUACCAGAAAAUGUCCGGUUGCCGCUCGUAAAGCUAUGCGCGUUUCUCAAUGCGAUUUUGCAGAAGGCAAUCGAUCCAUCCAAGCUAUCAAAGCUACAGAACGAUGUGGUGCAAUGUCUUGUCAGUUUUGAGUUGUUAUUUCCACCAUCCUUCUUCAAUAUUAUGACGCACUUACUGGUUCACCUAGUAAAAGAGAUUGGUAUUCUCGGACCUGUAUACCUGCACAAUAUGUGGCCUUUCGAGAGGUUCAUGGCAGUCCUAAAAAACUAUGUUCUUAAUCGUGCCCGUCCAGAAGGAAGCAUCGCCAAGGGAUAUGGAACAGAGGAGGUGAUCGAGUUUUGUGUUGAUUUUAUUGAUUCAAUUGACUCGAUUGGGGUUCCAGCUUCACGCCACGAGGGGAGGCUCCAAGGAAUGGGCACCCUUGGAAGGAAAUCAAGUUUGAGCAAUGAUACUGAUUUGUUCGACAAGGCACACUACACUGUUCUACAACAGUCAUCCUUUGUGUCUCAGUAUAUCGAGCAGCACAGGCAGAUGGUAGGUUCCAAAAACCCGACCAAAUCCGAUGCUUGGCUUACCCGUCAUCACAUGGAAACUUUUCCCUCCUGGUUGCGCCAACAACUUAUGGGUAACUCUGAGAUUCACCCACAACUUGCCUGGUUAGCCAGGGGACCUGCUACCACAAUCGUCAAAUUCCAAGGCUAUGAGAUAAAUGGUUACACAUUUUACACGAGAGCCCAGGACCAGAAAAGCAUGAACCAGAAUAGUGGUGUCCGCAUAGAUGCCAUGGACAGAAAUAAUAGCAAGGAGUCGUAUUAUGGUUUCAUACAGGAGAUAUGGGAACUCGAAUACGGACCGCUGUACAUCCCUCUAUUUCUUUGCAAUUGGGUGAAGCUAACUACCGUCACCAAAGAUCAGUACGGAAUGACAAUAGUAGAUCUGAGCAAGACUGGAUACAGUGAUGACCCAUUCGUACUUGCCAAUGAUGUGCAUCAGGUGUUCUAUGUGAAGGACAUGUGCAGCAAACCCAAGAGGAAUCCAGAAGAGACAUGGGAGCCAAAGUGCCACAUAGUUCUUCCAGGUAAAAGAAAAAUCGUGGGAGUCGAGGAUAAAACAGACCAAUCAGAUGAUUAUGAUCAGUUUGAUGGCAUGCCUCCAUUCGCCGUUGAAGUUGAUCCAAGCAUCCUGCUAUCCAAAUAAGAGGCUCCGUACUUACGCCGCGAUCAUGAUCAAGGAACUUUCGUGAAGAAGAAAUUUUACAACAUUGUAUUGUAAUGCGUUAAAUGUACAUGAUCUUUGUGUAUUAAUUGAUACAAUUUGUAAUUUACCCUAUGUAUGAUUUCAUGUCUUCUUAAAUUUCUUAGGUGAAGAUUUUAUAGAUAAACAUGAACAAUGUUAACCACAAACAAACAUGGAUUUUUUUGCGCAUUGAAAUUAUUUAAUUGAAUAAUUUCUUGAUCACAACAAUGCAGUAAAAUAAAUAUUUUAGAGGCUAAAUGAACUGGUAUAGAAUUCAUGAUUAAUUCAUACUUAUUGUCAAUUUACUCGUUAAUUAAAUAUAUUUUUGCAUGUACAAAAUCUGUGAAGGUUUUGUUUUUCAUCCUGAAAUGCAGUGAAAAGAUAAAAUAAAAUCCAUUUCCAAAAAAUAGGCGGGAGAAGAAAAGUAGGAAAAAAGACCUUUUGUCUCGGGUGCUAACAGCAACCGGGACAAAAGGCCCCCCUUUUAUCCCGGUUGCAAACUGCAACCGGGAUAAAAGGGUACUUUUCGUCUCCCGCCCCGACGUACCCUUUUAUCCCGGUUGCCAACUGCAAUCGGGAUAAAAGGCCCCCCCUUUUAUCCCGGUUGGUGGUGGCACCUGGGAUAAAAGGGUACGCUCCCAGCCCUACCUGGCGGGGGCACCCUUUUGUACCGGGUCCCGUCACCAACCGGGAUAAAAGGCAACCGGGAUAAAAGGCCUUUUAUCCCGGUUGGUGACGGGACCCGGGACAAAAGGCCCUUUUGUCCCGGGUGGCAUUACGAACCGGGAUAAAGGGGGGGGGGGUUAAAAGGCACUGUACUCCCUUCUACCCCCCGCCAGUUACACUUAGCCAAAUUUUCGCCUAGUCCCGCGCGUUCUCCGCCGUCGCCGCCCGUCCGCCUCCCUCGCCGGCCGCCGCCGUCGUCGUCCCCCAUUGCACCGUCGACGUCCCCCAUUGCGCCGUCGUCGUCCCCCGGCCGGCCUGCCUCGAUCCCCUCCUCGUCCGUCGACGCGCCCGGCCCCCGGCCGCCUCGUCGCCUCCGGCCACCGGCUCCAUCCUCGUCGCCGGCUGCAUCCUCGUCGCCCCUCGUCGCCCCUCGUCGCCGUCUCGUCGCCGUCCCACCUACGCCACCCGGCCGCCGCCGUCCCGCCGCCCCGGCCGCCGCCCCGCGCGCGAGAGGUCCGCCGCCGCGCCGGCCGGCAGCGCCGGGAGGGUUUUUUUUUUAAGUUAGAAAAUUAAGUUAUAUUUUUAUGAUAGAUUUUUAAUUUUGAUUGUUAAGCUAGAAAAUUAAGUUAUAUUUUUAAGUUAGAUUUUUUAGUUAGUUUGUUAAGUUAGAUUUUUAAGUUAGAAAAUAAAGUUAGAAAUUCGUAGGAUGCACCGCCGUCCCCUCCGCCGUCCUGCCGCCGUGACCGCCGCCGUCCCGCCGCCCGUCACAACCUAGUAGACACCGCCCGUGGUUCCGGGGAACCGUCCCCGCCUCCGCCGUACCGCCGCCGUGAUCGCCGCCCGUCACAACCUAGUAGGCACCGCCCGUGGUUCCGGGGAACCGUCCCCGCCUCCGUCGUACCGCCGCCCUCAGUGCCGCCGUCACAACCUAGGCAGCGCCCGUGGUUCCAGGGAACCAUCCCCGCCUCCGCCGCCCUGAUCGCCGCCGUUACAACCUAGGCACCGCACGUGGAUAUUGUUAGAAAUUCGUAGAAAUUCAUAGAAAUUCGUAGAAAUUCGUCAAAAUUCGUAGAAAUUCGUAGAAAUUCAUAGAAAUUUGUAGAAAUUCAUAGAAAUUUGUAGAAAUUUGUCAAAAUUCGUAGAAAUUCGUAGAAAUUCGUAGAAAUUUGUAUAAAUAUUCCGGACUUUGUAGGAUUCAUGUUAUUUUAUGAUUUCAUUAUAUACAUUAUGAUUCCGGACUUUGUAGGACUUUGUAGAAAUUUGUAGUAAGAUGAUUUCUAUGACUGUCAUGUAUGAUUCCAUGUAUGUUUCCAUCAAUAGUUGAAAUGGCAGACGAUGAGACCGCAAGGUAUAUCAUGGAGCAGAUAAUCGCUGGUGAUGGUAGUGGCGACAACAUUCCACUAUCAUACAUGGAUGAAGAGGGCACCCAGGCGGACAUGUUCCUCAACAUGUCCGCCGAUGGGAAUGAAGAGCAACAGCCGCAGCAACAACUUGCCGUGGUGGAAGGUUCCGGCGAGGUAUAUGUUGGCGCUAGAAAUCGGUCAACCGAAUCCCAGCGACCGACACACGACCCGGGAGAAUCUGCUUAGCUCCUGUUCGGGUGAAUGCCCUGGUGCAGUUCGCGCAGCGUGCCAGCCAAUCUGACCUGUUGAUUGGCAAGGAAGAAUACGUGUCAGGUCCAGAAAUCACGAUCGGCUAAGUUUCCGAUCGAGAGAAUUUAUCAACGAAUCGGCCGAUUUACUGUAGUAAUGAAAUCGGCUAUAAGACAGCCUGAUCUCUGUAGCCUUGUAGACAAGGAAUUACUAAAGUAAUCGAUACAAAGCUAUGAUAACAACACUAGGAACAGAUCUAAUCGGCAAUAGAUGAAUUUAAUAACAGAAUAUAGAAAGAGCCGAAACUACCGAUUCCUAGCUGGAUAACUGGUGAUAAAGACUAGAAAAAUAGGUAAAACCUAUGGAUCUAGCAAAUAUCGAUAACUAGUGAAUAUAUCUAAACGAAACAACAGCGAUACGCCCGAAGUUAAAGCUUAGAUAUUACUCGAUAAACGGAACUUACAGAAUCGGCCGGAGAUCAAGAUGAUGCAGCCCUGCCAACCCGCAUGAACUCGUGAGAAGAGAAAAGUAAUGGCGAAGUCGCCUGCUUGAAAGUAAGUACGAAGAAAAAGUAGCUUGUUGUAUUGAUUGGUUGAUGAUUACAGAUUUACAAAGGUAGCUAUUUAUAGCCCCAUACAGAUAUCUUCUUAACCGACUAGAAUUCUAUCCCUAAUUCAAACAGAAAACGAAUAUCUACAAGCAUGAUUCGUGCUAGGUUAGUUACUCCACGCUUCGUGGGCUGAUUUCCAGCUCACCCUUCUAUUCCAAGCCCAUACAGGCCCAAUUAACCCAUCCUCCUAAUCGGCCGAUUCCUCAUCGGCAAAAGGCUACCGAUUGGGACUCUGGUAUAUUCGACCCGAAACGAGACAGAAGUCACCGGCCGAUCUCACACUGUAGCACCACUUGGCCGAUUCCCAAUUGUGCUCCUCCGAUUCCCUCUCUUCUUGGCGCCGAUUCUACUAGUGACGAAAUCUGGCGUCAACACAUGCCCCCCAGUUUCGGAGUAAAACAUAGUCUUUUACUUCGAAAUUCUUUAUAACCUCCCUUCCGAAACGGCCGCAGUGAAAAUAUCCCUCCGUUUCGCGGUCUUCCAGCUGAUCAUUGCAAUUUUUCGAAACGGGCGCCCACGACAGCCACUACUCCCGAAAAACUCGAAACGCCGGCGCGGUGAAAAUUCCAUUUUUACCCCCCUUCAGGCAUCCUUUAAAUAGCGCUUCACCCGCACCUCAUCUUCAAGCUCACGUCUCUUUUCCCAGUGCGCGCGCCUUCUUCCUCCUUCAGCAUCUUUCCCUUGCCGCCGAAGCUUCCUAGCUCCACCUCCUGUUACUCUUCCCUCUUCUCUUUCAAUGGCGGCUCCUUCCGGCAGCUCUCCCGCAUGCGAUGUCCCAGAGGUAGCGCCUCCGGCGGUGGUAGCGACAGCCGUCGCUCCAUCCACAGAAGAAGGAGCUUCAUCGGAGAUCCCAAUGGCGAUCCCCAUCACGGCCCCGUUGUCCGCAUCCGCACCGGCAACCACGCCGAUCACUCAGAACUUCAUCCCAGAGGUAAAUACCGAAUCCUUCUCCUAUCGGCAAUUAAUUUACCUUAGAUCUGUUUCUUACUUUUUACACCCCCUUUUCCUUUUUUAGGCAGUUAGGCAUCGCAUUACCAUUCACCUUACGGGAAAUCCCGGCCUUAUUUGUCUCGGACCUAUGGGAAACCCAGAUCCAAUAGAGCUUAUUAAUUUGGAAACCCACAGGAUACCCUUCAAACUGUCUAAUAUGGACUUAGAUCAGUGGCUGGGUACUUUUAGAUCUUGGCCGAAUGAAACCCCAGGUUGGAGGGAGUGGUACCAAUGGAUAGCCGCAUCAAAGAGCGUCUCAUGGGAAGAGCUCAAAAUCGGCCAGUGCAUCAACCUUUCCUUAUCCCAGAUGGAGAAAAAUGAGCCGUUAGUAAUGGCGGCUUCUUAUUUUUGGUCUGAUGCACUUAAUGCCUUCUUAUUUGGGCACGGUCCUAUGACCCCAACACUGGCCGAUGUGGUCCUGUUGACCGGCCUCGACAUAUCCUCCCCGGACACACCCUAUCACCUUUUAACCACAACGUCACAUCGGCUGGACACAAGGGGAAUCGGCGGGUGGAAGGGUUUCAUCAAAAGUAAUAAGAGGACCGGGACUGUUGAGAAUAGGGAGCACACAGCUUUCCUGAUGAUGUGGCUAGAAAAGCACUUCUUUUGCGGAAGAGCCGCCGGCCCGACAACCAAUACCCAGGCCUUAGCUGAAGCACUGUCCAAGGGAAACCAUGUCCCUCUUGGGAAACAUCUGCUAGGGGCCGCGUACCACAUGCUACAUCAAAUCGGCAUAAGACUAUCCAAGGGAGAGCCGAUCGGCAAUCAAGGCGGGCCCUGGUGGUUCAUCAACUUGUGGUUGAACCUUUAUAUGAGCAGAAUUACUCAGCAGCCGGUGGAUCGCAUGACGUUCCCCAACAUCGAAUCGGUAGAAGACCCUACCGAACGUCGCCGAUGUAUGUCCUUUGGUGAAGCGGCAUCGGCUUUUCCAGGUUGCAUGUAUUCUGCUACAAAGGUAGCCGAGUACUUUCGAUGCUUCUAUAAUGGCUUUAGUGAAGAUGCAACCAUUUGGUUUCCGUAUUAGCGAGACGACCCGGUCUUUGAACUCCCCACUUGCUUCGAUUCGGCUUCCGGCCGAUUUGAUAUAGAGCUCUAUGAUGAGUUGAUCAAGCCAGGGCUCCUGCCAGCCAAUUUCUUCUCGGGGAAGGAUGCCCCUACGUACGAAUUCUACAACCCCUCCGCUGCAGCACGUCAAUUCGGCAUGGGUCAGCUGCCGAUUCAAGUGUACUUUGCUGGCCGAAUCAAGUUUAGGGAUGAGCUCACAUCUGGUCUGGAUUACAGUUGGUUACGAGACCGAAUCCCGGACUCCAGUACAAUUGACCUGAACGACUGGCUAGUAGCUCCCUUUGCUGUUCAGCCGUUCAAACUCUGGUGGGCCGAUUGGAAGCAAUUUCUUUUCUGCAACUCGGCAUCGGCAUACUGCAACCUUCUGGACCCAGCCAACAUCGACCCGAACGUCGAGGUAUUUCACUUAGCCAAUUUUUAUUCCUCUCAACAUGACUAAGCACUAAUGAUUUUAUUAUCUUUUCAGGCCGAGAAUCGAACUCCUCCAACACACAGCCGCAGCGGACGGCUAAUAGAAAGUCACCCAUACACAACUUAUCCUCUUAUCGGCUAUGACGCUCCGUCUGUUGACGUGAUUGCUGGCCGAUCAAAACAAGUCCAUAAGAGGACUACCAAGAAAACCAUUCGCCGAGUCCGAGCUCGUGUAGAAUCGGCAGAUCCCCCUGUGCUCGUAUCGGCAAAGACCCUGGCCGCACCACCUUCUCAGGUCAUCCAAGAUGCCGAUACCCAAGCCGUUGCGCAAGCUGGAACAGCCGCCGCGUCGUUGUUGUUGGAGGCCAUACAGGUAAACCUGAAUUUUACUGCUUCCGAUUGUUAUUCUGAUAUUAACCCUUCUUAUCCUUAGACUGCACAGAGCACCCCUAUGGAAAUACAACAAUCGGCAGCAACUCAACCAGCCAUCGGCGCGCCCCCGCUUUCAUCCGUUGAGGUAUAGUACUAUUUUACUGAUUUCCUUUGGUAUUUGCAUAAUGUACUUAUUCAAUCCUCUGACACAGGCCAUCGGCACACCAAGCGCUCCUCGACAACCGAUCUCUUCUCAGGGAGCUGGUCCAAGCACCGCGCCGAUUAUUGUGGAAUCUUCUUCAUCCGAUGAACCUAUGGCGCAGGCUCCUGAGCAAGGCGUGACGGCUUCACAAGUGCAGCAUGAGGAAAUUCGCUUCAAAAUGGUAAGUUUUGUUUCGGCUUCUAUCCAGCCGAUUUGCUUUUACUUCCAGCCGAUUUAUUUCUUUUCUUUAUUAUCUCCAGGAACAGGACACCCCCGACAACAGCCUCUUUUCUUUUGCGGUCGCCCUUUCCGACGACGAAGAGGUUGCCUCUCGCCAAGUUGCCUUGAGCUCCGUCCCUGAUGACAUCCGAGCCAAACUUUCCAGCAUCCGAUCCCUCCUUCAAGGGGACAUCGGUCGACUAGUAGAAGAUGCUUCAUCGAUUCGGCAGCUCUUCAAUGACAUCAGCGGACGAGUACCAGAAGAGGCGGAGGAAGCCCUGGCACCAGCGGCCUUCAUCGAGUCUAUGAGGAUCCCAGUCUUCAGGGCUCUUCGUCAUAUGGCCGAUCAUGCCAAGCUUGCCAAGACUCGUGAAGAGGAGGACGCGUUCAAGCGUCAGGCUCAAGAGGCACAUCGGCGCAUCCAUGUUCUGGAAGAUUCUCGCCCGGCGAUCAUCGGUGAGAUAGACCGCCUCAAGCGUCGGAGGGCGGAACUUGCCAAGGAGAUGGAGCAAGUGACUAAAGCAAUCAGUGCCGAAGAGAAAAAACUCCAAGAGCUACCUUCUGUCAUUGCCGAUUUGACACGGGAGAGGCAGCGCUUUGCUCAUGAGGCCCUAAAGCUCCAUUGCAGUACAUCAGAAGUCCCCGGAUCGGCAGAUGAAGACCAACGGGUUCUUGACUCUGCCGAUCAGAUCCGGCGCCGGGCUAUCACAGCUAUCGAUACCCUUCUGGGUAAUCUGUAAAACACUGACCGUUUGUCCGAACAUUUACUAUCUUCUUUGACCGUCCCUCGCGACGCCCUUUCUAUUUAUUACCUUUCUUAUUUCCGAUGGGACGUAGCCUUACCAAAUUUCCACGCAUCUUUUUCCAUAAAUACCGACCUCGGCACUUACUCCCGAUAGUACCAAUUUGGCUUUCGGUUUUACUCUCUCCUUCCUCUUACCGGUGCGACUUUCUGCCAUGGCUUCGUCGGCUUCUUCUUCCUCUGUUAACCAGGUGCAAUCUUGCCCUCUACCUCCCCCUCUUUUUAGAUCCUAGGAAAAGAAUGUCCCUUCUUAUUCCUUCUUUGUUUCAGCCUCAACGUCUUAGCCCUGCGCUCGUGCGCGCCAUUGAGCUCAUUCACUCUGAGGACCCAUUGACGUCGGAGGAUAAGGCGCUGAUCCUGGCCCAUCGUGAGGAACUUCGAGAUCACGUCACUGCGGAGGCUCGUGUGGUCUUGGAUCUCAUGGAGAGUGACAGUAGCCGACGAUCUCCAACCAUCAGGAGCCUUCAUUGUGGCGGCCUUGAAGACGAUGUUGCCACGGCGGCCCGUACGAUUUUGGACUUUAUGGAGAGCAAUGGUAGCCGGCGACCUCCCACCGAUAGGAGCCAUCCGCUUCCUCAGCAAGUCGUUCUCGAAGACGCAGCGGCAGGAACUUCGCGCCCUCCCAUGGAUCGGAGUCAUUUUCUCCCUCGUCAAGUUGAAGCGGAGACUUCAAUGAAGGCAAUAGAAGAAGAAUACCUUCACGUCAUGAGCGAGUUGGAGCGGAACGGGAAGGCGCCCAAGAAGAAGAACAAUUAGUUUUUUGUAUUUUUUGUUCUAAGGGCGACUAAUGUUUUGUCGGCCAUGUAACCCGCCGUCCGUACCGAAUGAAUGCAAUCGGCCGAUCCGGUCGACUAUGUGUUUGAACCGAUUUGUAUUGGCUAUGCGUUUGAACCAAUUUGUAUCGGCUAAGUGUUUGAACCGAUUUGUACCGGUUAUGUGUGGUCGUGUUAUGGUCAAUUUCCUACGCUCCGACCCAUAUACUGGGGUAGUAUCUUUUUAAGUACCUUCCGUUCAGAGCUCUAGUAAAUUCCUCUCCUUCUAUUGUUUCCAAAAUGUAAGCAUUUCCUGGGGCGCAUCUGCCGAUUUUGUACGGCCCUUCCCAUGUAGGGGACCAUUUUCCGAAUUUAGGAUCCUUCGACCCAAUCGGCAAUACUAACUUCCAUACUAAGUCCCCAGGGGAGAAUUGUUUGGCUUUGACCUUUUUAUCGUACCACCUGGCUACCCUCUUUUUAUUUUCUUCAAUGCUUAUCAGAGCCCUCAAUCGUUGGCCAGCCAAAUCGUCAAGUUCCCUUUUCAUAAGUGACGAGUAAUCAUCGGCCGUUAACUGGUCCUGGAGCGAAAUACGCCUUGAUCCCGCCCUUGACUCCCAUGGCAGUACCGCAUCGUGACCGUACACCAAUUGGUAGGGAGAUAACUUGGUAGCCCCAUGACAAGCCAUCCGGUACGCCCAUAAGGCCUCUGUCAAACAUAGAUGCCACUUCUUCGGUUGUUCCUCGACUUUUCUUUUGAUCAAUUUGAUUAUCCCUUUAUUGGAGGAUUCCGCCUGACCAUUGGCUUGGGCGUAGUAUGGAGAAGAAUUUAACAAUUUGAUUCCCAUAUUGGUCGUAAAUUCCUCAAAUUUCCCUGAUGUGAACAUUGUUCCUUGAUCGGUUGUUAUAGUCUGAGGGAUACCGAAUCGGUAAACGAUGUGGUCCCUUACGAAGUCAGCCAUGAUAGCCGAUGUCACGGUUCUCAACGGGAUAGCCUCUACCCAUUUGGUAAAGUAAUCAGUAGCCACCAGAAUAAAUUUGUGCCCUUUGCUUGAUGGUGGGUAAAUUUGGCCAAUAAGGUCUAUUCCCCAUCCCCUGAACGGCCAUGGCUUAAUGAUGGGAUUCAUGGCCGAUGCGGGUGCACGCUGGACAUUUCCAAACUUUUGGCACUCCUGACAGCCCUUAUAAUAUUUGAAACAGUCUUUGAGGAUCGUUGGCCAGUAGUACCCAUUAUUCCUGAUCAUCCACUUCAUCUUAUGCGCCGAUUGGUGUGCUCCACAUACCCCCUCAUGGAUUUCUCCCAUCAGCGUCUUGGCCUCCUCUGUCCCAAGGCAUUUGAGAAGAACUCCGUCGAUCGUUCGGUAGAAUAGGUCAUCUUCGAGCAGCACGUAUUUGGUGGCAUGAAAACGUACUCGUCGCUCCACCUUUUUAGACGGAUCCUUCAGGUAGUCGGCAAUUUCUUUACGCCAGUCAUCGGCCGUGAGCUCUAGAGCCAUAGUGCCUAGAAUUAGCCGAUACCCAGACGCAUGCUGGGCAAGUUUGUUGGCGUCUUCGUUGCGGUCUCUUGGGAUGUGCUCGAUUACUGCCGAUCGGAAUUCUUUUAAAAGCUGUAAGCAAUCUUCGUAAUAAUUUCUUAAUACGUCAUCUUUGCAUUCGGACCUUCCGGUCAGUUGAUCCACAAUAAGCAUAGAAUCUCCGAAGACUUCAACGGAAUCGGCCUUGACUUCUCUCAAUAGUUGUAAGCCUUUUAAUACAGCUCGGUACUCCGCUUGAUUGUUAGUAGCGGCGGUUUCUAUCGGCAGAGAAAAAUCAUAGCUUGCCCCCCGAGGCGAUAUGAGAACGAUGCCGAUUCCUGAUCCGACCCCACAUGAUGACCCGUCAAAAUAUAAUGUCCAAGGUGCCAGCUCUACGAGGGCAAUCUCCGGUCUGCAGUGCUGGGCGACGAAAUCGGUCAUGACUUGACCCUUGACGGCUUUUGCCGAUUCAUACCGCAGGUCAAACUCUGAUAAAGCUAAGAUCCAUUUGCCGAUUCGACCUUUCAAUAUCGGCAGUGAUAGCAUGUAUUUUACUACGUCAUCUUUGCAUACGACUACACAUUCUGCCGACAGUAGAUAGUGCCUGAGUUUGGUGCAUGAGAAGUAAAGACAUAGGCAUAAACGCUCCACCGGAGGAUAUCUUGUUUCAGCAUCCAGAAGUCUUCUACUGACAUAAUAAAUUACCCGCUCCUUGCCUUCAAACUCCUGGACUAGAGCCGAUCCAAUAGCUUUUUCAUCGGCUGAUAAGUAUAGUUUAAACGGCUUACCAGUUUGAGGGGGAACCAACACUGGUGGUGAGACCAAGUAUUGCUUGAUAUCUUCCAAUGCUUUGCGCUGCUCUUCUCCCCAUAUAAAUUCCUGGUCUGGCUUUAGCUUCAGAAGUGGCGUGAACGCCUGAAUCCGUCCAGAUAGAUUAGAUAUAAAUCUUCUGAUGAAAUUCACCUUGCCGAUUAGAGACUGCAGUUCGGUUUUGUUCUGUGGGGCCACGACUUUGUUGAUGGCCGCUAUGGUCUUCCGAUUGAUCUCUAUGCCUCGUUCGUGUACCAUGAAUCCUAAGAACUGUCCGGCGGAUACGCCGAAAGCACAUUUGUUGGGAUUCAUCUUAAGACCAUGUUUUUUGGUACACUCUAGCACUUUUCGCAAAUCGGCCAGAUGUUCUUCGUGACCUUUAGACUUGACCACGACAUCAUCGAUGUAGAUUUCUACCAGAAGGCCAAUGAGUUUGUGAAAUAUGUAAUUCAUAGCUCUCUGAUAUGUAGCGCCAGCGUUCUUCAAGCCGAAAGUCAUCACCACCCACUCGAACAAACCAAGGUGGCCUGGACAUCUGAAGGCCAUUUUGGGUAUAUCCUCUUCGGCCAUAAGUAUUUGAUUGUAUCCGGCGUUUCCGUCCAUGAAGCUAAUGAUUUUAUGCCCCGCGGCCGCGUCGAUCAGUACAUCGGCCGUUGGCAUGGGGUAACCAUCCAUCGGUGUGGCCUGAUUAAGAUUCCUGAAAUCAACGCAAACGCGUAGCUUCCCAUUUUUCUUGUAUACUGGUACGAUGUUAGAAAUCCACUCGGCAUAACGACAUUGCCGAAUAAAUUUUGCUUCGAUUAGCCGAGUUAUUUCAGCUUUUAUGUCUGGUAGAAUUUUAGGAUUGCAACGCCGUGCGGGUUGUUGGUACGGCCGAUACCCUGGUUUUAUGGGUAGCCGAUGUUCAACAAUGGAUCGGUCUAAACCGGGCAUCUCGUGAUACUCCCAAGCAAAACAAUCCUUAAAUUCCUUUAAUAAAUUUGUCAAUUUACACUUGUACUCUGGAUCUAAAUUUGCACUAAUAUAAGUCGGCCUUGGUUUGGUACCAUCGCCUAAAUCUAUCAUUUCCAAUGAAUCGGCCGACGUGAACCCAUGCCCUAGCUUCCCAUCUUCUCAGGCGAACUGAUCCAUCUAUUCUGAAUCUUCGGAGCCGACUGCUCGGAUCGGCUGUAGGCCAAAAUCGGUGACCUUCAGGAAAUCGAUCUCCCAUACUCUACCUGAUAUGCACCUGACGGUUUCGCAACUCCACUGCUGCGUGUCGGCUGCCGCAAUGCUGUAUGCGGAGUCGGCUUUGACCACCUCGAUGUUAUCGCCGACCCAUUGUACGAGGCACUGAUGCAUUGUUGACGGGAUGCAGCAGUUUGCGUGUAUCCAGUCUCGGCCAAGUAGCAUAUUGUAGGAUCCCUUGCCAUUAAUAAUAAAGAAGGUGGUAGGAAGGGUCUUACUGCCGAUGGUGAGGUCGACGCAGAGAGCACCGCGAGCGUUUGAUACCUUGCCCUUGAAGUCCUUGAGCAUCAUGUCUGUCUUGGUCAAGUCGUCGUCGCUUUUCCCAAGUUUCCGGAGUACGGCGUACGGCAUGAUGUUGACUGCAGCUCCUCCGUCUACCAUCAAUCUAGUGAGGGGACGGCCAUCAACAUGCCCCUUAAGGAACAGCGCCUUCAUAUGUUGUCGUUCGUCAUCUUCGGGCUUUUCGAACAUGGCCAUCAUUGGCUCCAGGGCCAACUGCGCUGUCUGUUCUUCUAUCGCCGAUACAUCCUGUUGAUCGGCGGGAGUCAUGAAUUCCAUCGGCAAAAUGAAAACCAUGCCGAUCUCGGCCGCCGAUUCGUCCCCCGCCGACUCGUCGUUCCCUUUAUCAUUUCUUUUGGGGCGCCACACCCGAGGCCUUCCUUCCUUCUUGUCUGUCACGCUUUCUUCUUCUUGCUGUUCCAAUUGGCGGAGACGUUGGAUUCUUUGUUUUUGAGACUUGGUCAAUCCGUCGGGACACCACCUGGGGUUUAUUGGUCUUCCCCUUGACCUGGCGCGUUCCCACUCCGGUUCGCGUCCUAACGGGUUUUCAUCUGUCACCCGAGCAUCGGCCAUCUCUUUGAGCCGGCUGUGAACGCUGGCUUUGUUGUCCGACUGGUCAUGCCGAUCAGUCCUGCCCCUCUGCCUAUCAUGGCGUCUAUCUUCCGAUCGAUCAUAUCGGUCACUUCUGCCCCCCAGCCGAUCACGCACGGGAGGGCGCUGGUCAUCUUGGUUGCGCCAAUUCUUGCUGGUCGGUUCUGGCCUUCCAUCUCUGGAGCGAGACCCUUUGAACGGCCGAUUGCCACGAUAAGGACCGUUGCAUUCUGGGCAAGUAUCGGCUGAAGGUAGCCUGAGGUUGUGUUCCCAACAGUGAAUGAAGAACGGGCAUCUCAAGUGCUCCUCGUGCCGACGCAUUGCUUCUUCUCGGGACCUUGAGCGUUCAUGCUGACGUUGGUACUUCUGGAGCAGGAACUGGGAAGUAAUGCGUGGCCCUUCUGACUCACCAUCGUCGUCCUCUAUCCGCCGCUUCCCCUUGACAUCUUCAGGAGUAGCUUGAUUUCUGGGAUCGACGGCGCCACUCUUUUUGGCUAAUUCGGACGUCAGCACUUUUGUUUGGAGUGAAUUCUUCCCUGUAUCAACCAUGUUGGUAGGAAAGGGGUGUUGGUCAAUCUUCAUUGGCUUGGCCGAUUUUGCCGGCACUUCAAAUUUAAGUCUGCCUUGCUCAAUGGCCGACUGUAUCUGCUGCCUGAAGAUUUUGCACUCGUUGGUAUCAUGGGAUGUGGCAUUGUGCCACUUGCAAUACUUCAUCUUUUUUAGUUGUUCGGCAGAAGGUAUUGUAUGGUACGGCGAGAGUUUAAUCUACCCUUCCUGGAGGAGAAGGUCGAAGAUUUUAUCGGGCCUUAGUUGUGUCAAAACCGAACACUUCCGGAUCCUUUUUGCCGAAUGGGCAUGAUAUCGGCUUCUUCCCUUUGAUCCACUCCGCAAGUCCGACUUCAACAUCUUCCUCAUCCUCUAACUCUUCCAGGAACGCCACUUUCUUUUGGAAAUUCCUCCGCGGAUCAAAAGGACGUACCUCCUGUCCAAACAAUCGGUGAACAAUCUGGCUCAGACUUUCGAACUCUUGUGAAGCGUAUCUUUCUUUGAUGUGGGGCAGAAGGCCUUGAAAAGCUAUAUCGGCCAACUGUGCAUCGGUUAGAGCCAGGGAGUAGCACUUGUUUCUGAUUUCCCGAAACCUCUGUAUGUACGAGGAUAUCGGCUCAUCACUCCUUUGCCUGAGGCUGGUCAAAUCGGACAGCUUCAUCUCAUGCACCCCGGCAUAGAAGUAUUUGUGGAACUGUCUUUCUAAAUCGGCCCAUGUGAUAAUCGAGUUUGGCGGCAAUGUCGUGAACCAUUGAAAGGCUGAACCAGACAGAGAUGACGAGAACAACCGUACCCGUAGGGCGUCUUGCGUAGCUGCUUCUUCGCAUUGGAUGAUGAAUCUAUUCACGUGCUCUACGGUCGAAGUAUCAUCCAUCCCCGAAAAUUUAGUGAAGUCAGGAACUUUAUACCGAUGGGGGAACGGCAAUAGGUCAUAUGUAGAUGGGUAUGGUGUUCUGUAGGUAUAAGUUUGCACUUUUGGCUUCAAGCCGAAUUGUUCUUGCAUCACCUCCGCAAUACGUGCCGACCAAUCUGGCUGUUGCUGGUGAACUGUUGGCUGAGGUAUCGGCACGUGCUGGUAAAUCGGAGGCUGAAUAAACGGAGGCUGAUGAAAAGGUGGUAUCUGAGUGUAAGCCGGCUGUGUAGUAAAGGCUGGCUGUUUGAAUGAGCCACUCGUUUCAUCGUACAGCAUGAUCUCUGCUGUCUUGUUGAUCCCCGGAGCGACAGGCUAGUAUGGCGGCACGGUUGGCCGAAUAGCAGCCUGGAAGGAUGUCUGGAAUGGAGAGUUCACUUGACUGGCCGAUUGAUUCUGACCGGCCGUGACCGAAGGUGCCCCCCAGGGUGAUGGGUGAAUUGGGCUAACUGGAGGGAAUGGCGCAGAGGACAGUUGGAUGGAGCCAUAUCCCAUUGGAGUUGAUGACGAGGAAGCACCUGAACUCCCGACAGAAAACUGGAUCGGCUGCGAGGCCGAAUUCGAACAAUUCUGGUUUGGUGGAAUCGGCUGAAAAUAUGCCGGUCCCCUGUAUCCUUGAGGUAUGCCCCCGGCGAAGGAGUUGACAACAGCGUUGUGCACCAUGUUUGAAAGCACCGGGGACUGGUCAAUGAAAGCGUGAUGAAUAGACUGUUGAAUCAUAUCGGACAUUUUAUCCGAAUCUUCAGAAAUCGUGAUCUGGCGGGGAGCAGGGAAUGGAGUCUUCUUGAUGGUCUCCCCGCUUCUGGAGCGACUGAAAGACUUCAGGCAAGCUUUCUGGAACUGUGCCGUAUACUUGUCCAGCUCUUCCUUCUGGUCGUCCUUCAGAUCUGCUUCCGUCACCUCGAUGACGUUAUCUUCGGAGACUUCAGCAGCUUUCGACAUGAUGGCGGUUGUAUUGGUCCCACCGGGCGUGCCAAAAGUGUGUUGGCGCUAGAAAUCGGUCAACCGAAUCCCAGCGACCGACACACGACCCGGGAGAAUCUGCUUAGCUCCUGUUCGGGUGAAUGCCCUGGUGCAGUUCGCGCGGCGUGCCAGCCAAUCUGACCUGUUGAUUGGCAAGGAAGAAUACGUGUCAGGUCCAGAAAUCACGAUCGGCUAAGUUUCCGAUCGAGAGAGUUUAUCAGCGAAUCGACCGAUUUACUGUAGUAAUGAAAUCGGCUAUAAGACAGCCUGAUCUCUGUAGCCUUGUAGACAGGGAAUUACUAAAGUAAUCGAUACAAAGCUAUGAUAACAACACUAGGAACAGAUCUAAUCGGCAAUAGAUGAAUUUAAUAACAGAAUAUAGAAAGAGCCGAAACUACCGAUUCCUAGCUGGAUAACUAGUGAUAAAGACUAGAAAAACAGGUAAAACCUAUGGAUCUAGCAAAUAUCGAUAACUAGUGAAUAAAUCUAAACGAAACAACAGUGAUACGCCCGAAGUUAAAGCUUAGAUAUUACUCGAUAAACGGAACUUACAGAAUCGGCCGGAGAUCAAGAUGAUGCAGCCCUGCCAACCCGCACGAACUCGUGAGAAGAGAAAAGUAAUGGCGAAGUCGCCUGCUUGAAAGUAAGUACGAAGAAAAAGUAGCUUGUUGUAUUGAUUGGUUGAUGAUUACAGAUUUACAAAGGUAGCUAUUUAUAGCCCCAUACAGAUAUCUUCUUAACCGACUAGAAUUCUAUCCCUAAUUCAAACAGAAAACGAAUAUCUACAAGCACGAUUCGUGCUAGGUUAGUUACUCCACGCUUCGUGGGCUGAUUUCCAGCUCACCCUUCUAUUCCAAGCCCAUACAGGCCCAAUUAACCCAUCCUCCUAAUCGGCCGAUUCCUCAUCGGCAAAAGGCUACCGAUUGGGACUCUGGUAUAUUCGACCCGAAACGAGACAGAAGUCACCGGCCGAUCUCACACUGUAGCACCACUUGGCCGAUUCCCAACUGUGCUCCUCCGAUUCCCUCUCUUCUUGGCGCCGAUUCUACUAGUGACGAAAUCUGGCGUCAACAGUAUAUAUAACCAUUCUUGUAUUGUUUCACGCCACCGUUACUACUACGUCCUAAUUAACGAAUCUUGAACUGUUAGCCCUCCGGAUGGACACAAGGGCAGAAGACCCGAGGUCGUACAAAGGUGAUGGAAGGGAGGCUUGUCAUCACGGAAGUGACAGAAGAGGGCAGGCCGGUUGCUCCCGAGAAAGUAGCAAAGAAGUAUAUGAGUCAGAUCGGGGCAAUCGUCCGGGACAACGUGCCUAUCAGCAUCAGAGAAUGGAAGGGCAGAAGCACUAAUCCGUACGCCCUUCCAGAGACAGAAAAGAAUAUGCUGUGGGAAGACGUGAAGAGACAUUUCACAUUCCCCGAAGGAUAUAGUGAGAAGGAUGUCAAAGCGUGGACGCUUAAGAAGAUGGCUACUCAAUUCCAGACAUUCAAGAAGAUGCUGGAUACCCACUACAUCAAGAAGGGCCGAACUCCAGACUUCAACGCGUGGCCAAAGUUGAGGGACCACUGGGAUGCAUUUGUUGAAUAUAAGAGGAGUGAAGAAGGUGUGAAAAAGAUCACGACCAACACAGCAAAUGCUAGUCAGAAGGGCUACCACCAUCAUUUGGGGCGAGGUGGGUAUGGCUCAGCAAUUCCCAAGUGGAGGAAGAUGGAACAAGAUCUGAUCGAACGGGGAAUCGUACCUGCAACUAUUGAAUGGCCCGAACGAUCAAAAAAUUGGUACUACGCUCAUGGAGGCUCCCUAAGCCAAGAGGAUGGGAUGUUGAAUAUUAAUGACACAAUACGUGAGAAGGCCGAACAUCUCAUGAAGAACAUUGAAGAUUCUAAGGCUGGGAGGUUGAAGGUGGACCGAGAAAAUGAUGAGCUCACAUUGGCCCUCGGUAAUCCAGAGCACCCAGGACGUUGCCGAGGGUUCGGGGUGGUUCCGUGGAAGUUCACUUUCCGAGGCGACAGCACCUCGUACAGAAGCCGGAAGCGAAGAAAGGAACAGAUCGAGGAGAGCUGGCGGCAGAUGCUAGAACAAAGAAUGAUGGAUGAAAUCAAUCGGCGGGUGGCCCACGCAGUUGCGGAGUUGGCCCAAUCUGGAGCAUUGCCGAAUCCUAACACCGCCAGCCCUUCUCAACGCCUCUUGAGCAGUUGUGCUUCUACAGGGGUCCCCGAUGCGCAGACGCCCAGGUUACCCGUGGAGGAGCAACGGUUCCCCGUGGAUGCCAUCACACAACGGACCUCAUGUGAGCUGCAUGCACCGGUAGGCAACCUCACUAUUAAGGUAUACUUAUACAUAAUAUUUAUGCAAUCUUGUCAAUUGAUCCAGGCCUCGAGAUCGGAGUUCAACUUGUUUACUUCUGCUAUAUGUACAGGUAGCGUACGGGAGUGCGUUAGCAACCCUGGCGGGGCAGAGCAGUCAUGGCAUGGAAAUUCCAACAGGCUACGCCAGCGUCUGCGUAGAGCAAAUAGUUGAUCCCCAGUAUGAAGGUCUAGAGCUCGACUUCCCGGGAGGCGACGGGGAAAAGACAUUGGCAGAUGCGCUUCAUGGGAUAAUUCUAUGGAAGAAAUGCUACAUCAUUAUUCCCGGCACGGAGCCAUCUCCUCAGACCUCAAGACCGCUCCCCGUAGAUCCCCAGCAGCGACCUUCUCCUCAUACCUCGAGACCGUCAUCUCCUGCUCCAGGACCGUCCCUUCCAUCUAUAUCAAGGUCUCCAUCUCCACCACAUCCUAGUGCUGGGAGCGACGACGACAAUAACAACACCCCUCCCCGAUCACCGUCGCCGGCACCAAGAGCGGCCCCCUUGAAGGAACAUGCACCACCACUAAAGAAGUCACGAGCACCGCCUCCCAAGCAAAGACAGAGAAAGAAGAAAACAAAGGAGCCUGAAGUGACUCGUAAGGAACGCUUUGAGGCAAUGUAUCAUGCAGAACAGUGGGCAGAAAUCCAACGAGAGGCCAGUGAGUGGUUCAAGAAACAAGCCGAAGAAAAAAAGGCAAGGGAGAUGGAGCCACCGCCAGUAAGUCGGCGAGAUUUAAACUUUUUUAUCAGGAUGGAAGAAGGAGCCAAGAAAAGGAUACCACUCUUGUCAAACUAUGAACGGGCUCUAGUAAAGGCUGAUGAAAAGGAUAAAAGGAAAGGAAAGUCAUCUUCCAGCGGUCCAGUCCCCGACCUCAGCCAUUUAUCAAAAAAAGAUGCUCAACAGGUAAAAGCAAUGCCCUUGGAUCAACAAGCAAAUGUAUUGAAGUUCAUGGAAGAAACAGGUCUGGGACUUGAUGAAUGCAUAGGGCAAGUUGAGACGCCAACUGCACCGCCCCCUGAGCCGAAGUGGCCUUAUGAGCUAGGAAAACCUCUAGUAAAGCCUUCAUUGGUACGGAAGCUAUCAACAAAGAUGUACGCAUUCCAUCAAUGGUACAUGAUGGCAUCCGUCGACUCGAGGGAGAUGAUCGGCAUGAAGGUAAAACCGAUAGAUUUUCACGGUGAAGGGGAGAAAGUGAUGUGGCUAGACUUCAAGGAUAUAUACGAAGUGUACCAUCAUGAUGCCCUGGACGUCUCUCUGAUCAGCGCUUGGAUUCUGUAAGUGUCCGUUUAUCUCUACAUGUAAAUUUUGGCGUACAUCACCGUACUAACUUCAUCUUCCAUUUCAUGUAGGAUGCUAAUUCAGACAUGCCGCCGAGAGGCGUACCUACAUAUAGGCUUCAUGGAUCCAUCUGUAGUUAACCAACAACAGAUACAAUUAGCGCCGGAAAAAACCUUUGCGGAAAUAUACAAUUUCCUAGACAAACAAACAUUCAAGGAUUUCAUACUACUUUCAUACAACUUCAAGUAAGUGUGUGUAUACCGUCUACUUUCGAUGUCUUUUUCCUUAUCUCUACAUGUUAGUUAGCUCUAAUAUGCAUGAACAUUUUACGCACGCAGCUUCCACUGGAUCCUUAUUAUAAUUGAGCCUGAAAGAAGCCACGUCACUGUCUUCGAUUCGUUAAGGAAAGAUCCGGUGGACUACCAAGAAUUGCAAAACAUGCUAGGCUUGUAAUAAUUCUGGACCUUUAUCUCUAUGCAAAAAUUUAUUUCCUAAAUUUUAUCCCUGUUACACUAUAUCAUUCAUUAUUCUAAUCCGCAGCGCAUGGAAACAAUUCAUAAGGACACACAAAGGUCCAUUCAAAGAAAAACUUACAUGGAACACAGACUUCCCGGUACGUAUGCAGUCUGCACAUUUAUUACAUUGUAUAACACGAAUAUUUCAUAACUUAUUUUUUUCCGCACUGAAGUGCUUAAGACAGGAACCCGGGAAUAAUCUAUGUGGCUACUACAUCUGUGAGCACAUGCACAGUUUUAUGGGACCCAAGGGACCGAAGAUGACGCCGCACAACUUUAAAGUACGUAAAAUAAAACUAUUACUAGUUAAUUAUUUUCUAGCUCCUUAUAUGUAUUUGUUCAUGUAACAUUCACAAAUUUCCAAAUUAUAGAUGUUAAAUAUUCAACAAGGACUCUUGAAGGAAGAAAGAGUAGCGGCAAUAUGUGAAGGUCUCAUUGGAUUCAUAAUGGACGAGGUGGUAAAUCCAAAAGGAGAAUUUUAUUAUGAUGGACGACAAUUAGACACUCCGAUCAGCAACACCACGACGGGAAGAUUGUAGGAAGAUACUUUGAUUUAUUUGUAUAUAUAAUACGCGCUAAUUAUGAUCGAUUUGUACUAAGCUAGUUGAAUUGUGUAUAUGAAUUGUGUAUAAGGAUUGUGUAUAUAUAUAGUAAUUGUAUAAUUACAAAUCCCAUUCGUUUAAAUACUAGUUGAUUUCGUUCUAAAAAAAUCUCAACUACUAAAGGUUAACAAAUUAAAAGGGCCGCGGUACUACGUAUACGUGAUGCAUGCAUGAAAAAUUCAGGCGUCACGGCAGUGCCAUGCAAGCGUCAUUUAGUCCCGGUUGGAAUCCAGCCGGGACUAAAGGGUAACCCUUUAGUCCCGGUUGGUGACACCAACCGGGACUAAAGGGGGACCUUUACUCCCAGUUAAAAGACCCAGGACUAAAGACCCCCCCUUUUGUCCCGGUUGGUUUAUCCCGGAUGGAUUUUCGAGAGAUAUGUACCCUACCAACCGGAACUAAAGGCCAAUAUUGGUAAGCUUUCAAACAACCUUCAAGUGCUAGGGUUAGGACAAACAACUUGUCAGGGAUAAUUCCCACCAGCUUUGGGAACCUUACUGGCUUAACAAAACUUUAACUUAGUUACAACAAUCUCAAUGGUCCAAUCUUAGAGUGGGUUGGAAAUAUGAAGGAUCUUGGAGCUAUAGUUCUUGAUGCAAAUAACUUCACUGGUUUGAUUCCGUCUUCUAUGAGUAAUCUUACAAAAUUGACUCUGCUCUCUCUUACAAAAUGAAUUCGAAGGUCCAAUAUCACCAUGUCUGGGAAGUCUGCCACUUCUUACAUAUUUGAACCUUAGUUAUAACAAUCUGCAGGGUAACAUUCCUAAGGAAAUAUUCCAUCCCGAGUCCUCAAUAACCACAUGCGUGUUAUCCUACAAUAAGUUAGAAGGUCCAAUUCCUCCAGAGAUUUCUAAUCUUUGACGACUGACGGAACUAUAUCUUUCAUCCAAUAAGCUUAGUGGGGAAAUUCCUUCAACCCUAGGAAAUUGCAAAGAGUUACAGAUCAUUGAAAUAGAUUGUAACUAUCUCCAGGGGAGCAUUCCGUUGACUUUUAAUGGUCUAAAGAGCAUGACCUUGCUAAAUCUUUGACACAACAAUUUGUCAGGCUUCAUCCCAACAAAACUGGGUGACUUACCAGCUGCAACAAAUUCCUCACCCAGCUGGAUCUAUCUUACAAUAAUCUGCAAGGCGAAGUACCCACAAAUGGAGUAUUUGGAAACGCCAAAUUUUUCUCACUUCUUGGCAACUAGGGACUUUCUGGAGGAGUGCGGGAUCUACAUAUGUGCCCAUGUGCUACAGUCAUGGAGCAAAGAAACACGAUACUACUACCUGAUCAGGUUACUCAUCCCGGCAUUUGGAAUCAUGUCACCCAUAAUGUUGAUCUAUGCUGUAAUCCCACAGAAAAAGAAGUCAACAACAAGGUACUCAUUGUUAUUUUAUUUUGGUAAGAAAUUCCCUAUAGUUUCUUACAAGGAUCUAGCUCAAGCUACAGAAAACUUCUCAGAGUUCAACCUGAUUGGGAGGGGUAGCUAUGGUUCAGUGUACAGAGGAAAGUUAACUCAAGCUAAAAUGCAAGUGGCUAUCAAGGUUUUUGAUCUUGAGAUGAGAUUUGCAUACAAAAGCUUUGUAUCAGAAUAAGAGGUCGGGUGGGCCGCAGCCCACUCUAAGAUUUGGUCCAAAGAACCCAACGUAAGAAAUCGGUGCUCGAUAGCCUAAGAGGGGGAGGGGUGAAUUAGGCAACUUAAAACCUUAACAUGUGGCUUCAACUACAAAGCAUCAAAAAAUAGACUAAAUCAUGCUAUGCAGAUAUGCAUCUAUGGUUGAUCUAGUGAAAACUUCCCACCCACGAAGAGUUUUACAACUUAGAGCCAAUCCUAUCAAGAUAUUACUCUAGAAUAUAAGAAAUGCAAAAAUGUAUAAAAGUGGGUUAGGAACGAUGCAAACUCGGGACGACGAUUUAUUCCGUAGUAUCGAUAGGAAAAUGACACCUCUAGUCCACUAGAGCUCCACCGAGGAUACGCUCCUGGACACCAAAUCUCUCUCGAUCAAGGUCUUGGACCCACCACAAAGGCUCUCACCAAGCCAGAUGAGAAGCUUGCCAUGAAGGAAAGCUAACCACUCCCUCUCUUCCAUUCACCAUGGCGCCGUCUUUACUACAUAGCUUCUCUAUGAAGGAAGGGUUCUCCCCGUCCCCCGCACACGAUCGUUGUUAUUGAUCCACAUCAAGCUGGAGAGUCGAAGACUUGCCAGCGAGCCACCAAAGGCCCGAGGCGCCAGCACACCAAGCUUACAAUGGUGGUUCACUCCUUGAACCAAUCACAAGGUAGCAACACCUUGAACUCACUCUCUCUAGAUGUAUCCUAGCACUAAUCACUCUCGAAGCAUGUGCUAAACCUUGUAUUAUCACUUUUUGCACUUUUGGUGGGAUGGAUGUGUUCUUGAUGAGUCUUGAUCUUGAAUGAACUCUUGGACACUACAGCAAUUUCAAAUGGGCGAGUAGAGGGGGUAUAAAUAGCCCAUGGACCUCAAAGACCCAUUGAUCCAACGACUAGUAAAAUCUGUGAGCAUCGGAUGAUCCCAUGGUCACUUUAGAUAGGCAUCGGAUCAUCCGGUGCCCCUUGCUAAUGCAUAUAGCCGUUGGACCCCCUGCCCAAAAUUACUCCGAUGCUUCAUCCAAUGGGCAUCGGAAUAUCCGAUGCUGAGGACUUUUUCACCUAAAACCUUCUGGAUGAUUUCAAAGUAAAUAUGUUUAGUCCGAUGCCUCCAACUUCUGACCAUCGGAACAUCCGGUACUAUAGGAUUUUCUCCAUCUUCUUUGCGCAUUGUUCCGACGCUUGUAAAAAGAACCUCGUCAUAUCAUUCGGUGCUUACUGCAACUCAAGCUGAUUUCUCAAUUGUACUAAUUGCUUAGAUGGUUGCUCUAGUGGACCGUCGGAUCAUCCGGUGCUUCAUAUUUUUCUGAGUUGAAUAUCGCAAUUUGCACACAAAAAUACCAUCACUUGGAUUUCUAUCAUUUAAACACUUUGAAUACCAUAGAAUGAUCCAGAUAUUUAUGAAUUGGACACUUGAAUAUCAUGAUUUGGACCUUUUGCCAUGAUUUAGUUUGCAUUCUUAGGAUCCAGAAAAUCUAAGGUACAUGCUAGUCAAAGCAUUAGUUUGUCACUCAGUCAUUAAAAUCACAAAUUAUAACCUAAUAGGACCAUGUUCCUUGCAAUCCAGCUCCUAGAUUUUCCCAUCCGCUGAGACGCUGACAGAGCCAGCCACGAAGCCAGCACCCACGACUCAUGGUAAUCAUGGUAAUAAAAAGGAUCAAGUUAAUGAUUUGAUCUAGUGGCUUGUCAAAUUUUUUGCAUUGUUGGACCACUCUAACUUGAAAUCCUAGAAAUUCUCACUAAAAUCAGAAACAUCAAAUAUUAAUCGUGCAAACUCUAAUAAUUAUAAUCAUUGAUCUAUAAUAUUUUAUAAAAGGUUACCUACCAAACAUAUUCUAAAAUAAACCCUAACCCUAUAUCUAAAUUAUCGAGCUCUGCAAUUAUAAAAAACUAAUCUAAAGUAACCUCCAUAAUCUUCGUCCAAUUUAUUUAUACAUAUCAUUAUAAAGUAUAACUUCAAAUGUUACUCUAAAUUUGUAUCUAAGUUACCCACGUCUAAAUUUGUAUCUAAGUUACCCACGUAUGUUCUUAUUAAAAUAAUCUAAAGUAAACACCUAAAUCUUAAUCUAAUUAUCUUCAUGUGUGUCAUUCAAAAAAGUCCAAAAGUAAACAUUAUGAGUGUUAUUAUUAAUAUAGAAAUACUAAGUUAAGGUAUAUACGCAUGAUGAGUGUCACCAUGUAGACAAUCUGUACAUGUAUGUGGAGAUGUGAUACAAAAUGAAAAAAAAGUGUGAAUGUGGAUAAAAAAUAUAUAGAGUAAUUAAUAAUUAAAAAUAAUCAUAAGACAUAAGUAUACAUAUCAAACGCCUGUCUCGAUCGCUUGGCUUCGUGCCGAAACCAGCUAGCUAAACAGUAAACACCUUUGCCGUCGGGGCUGGCUCCACAAGGUGGCAGUUGUCAGUUGUGCUGUUCGAUCUCCAUCCCACGCUGGCAGGUAGGACACCCGUGAGGCGAUGAAUCGUGACGCGAGCUUCGACGGGCCGCUAGCUUCGACGUACGAGUACAGCGAGCAGUGGCUGGAAUUUUGCAAUUCCUUCGGUUGGGUUGGGUGGUUUUGUGCGGGAUCGGCAAUGGUGACAACUGGACGAGCUGUUUGUGUUGGCUUUGUGCAAACUGCUCUCAAGUACAUUACAUUCAUCUUCUAAUGAUCAAUUUACUGAGUUUGCUGUCGAAGAUGGGCUAACUACUUGGUGAUGCAAUCACAACGCAUGCAAAAGAUGUGUUUCAACUUGCACAGCCACCACCUUGCUGAUGGUGAUUUAGCUAAGUUUCAACUUGAAAUUUCAAACUUCCGAAAAAAAUGCAGCAAGAUCGUAUCUAUGACGCUUGACUCUUUGCAGAAUACUUACAGUUAUCUGGUCCUCAAUUGGAAUAAAUUUUGUUUGCAUAAAAAGUAAAGUGCCACAUUUUCACCUUCAUAGAACUAAUUGUCUCACUAGAUAUUUCUCCAAUUAAUAAUCAACAUUGUACGAGACCCCUACGAAGCACGGCAUUGUAUAGACUAUUCUUGUCGAGAUCGGAUACAUAAAAGUUGACUUGACGCGCUACCCGUUCAAAGAUAACCCAUGAACGAAUCAUGGCCACACGAUACAUUCUGGAAGCGCGAUCAUUACAAAGAUCCAAAUCGGAUUUGAAAACGAAAAUCCAGCGCCGGUAGACCAUUCCACGAGCUGAAUUUUAUCGUCAUCGAAACCGCACUAGACAUGUAGCACGCAUCAGCCCGGAAUAUCUCUGUCCAUUUCCUGCAGAAAAGUACCCUGCGAUUCGAGGCUGGACACGCCGCAACAAUCUUGUCCAGCUCAGACAGUGACGGCCGCACUGUUGAGAAGAUCGAAGCUGUGAAGUGGCGAUAACCGGCGAGUUUGACGGACUCGGGGUCUUCGCUCCAACGCCGUCAAGCUAAGAUAAGAUAUGAUGAUGAUGCAAGUGUGUGGAUUGUAAUACCGCUGUAAGACUGUUUUUAAACCCCUGGGGCCUGAGACAGUUGUGCAUCCAACUUAAGCACUAGUGGUCUCCGUUUCAGCCAUUCCUGAGACCAUCCAAACAGUUAGGUCAGGCAUAAGAGGACAUCAAACGCCUGCCUGGAUCGCUUGGCUCCAUGCCGAAACCAGCUAGCUAAACAGUAAACACCUUUGGCGUCGUCGAUCGGGGGCUCACCCCUGCACAAAUACGGCAGUGCUGUUCGAUCUCCAUCCCACGCUGGCCGGACGCCCGUGAGGCGAUGAGUCGUGUCGAAAGCUUCGUGGAUCGGGCCGCUAGCUCCAGUUUUUCAGACGAGUGGCACGCUCACGUGUGCACGUACGAGUACAGCGAGCAGCGGCUGGAAUUUUGCAAUUCCUUCGGUUGGGUUGGGUGGUUUUGUGCGGGAUCGGCAAUGGCGACAACUGGAUGAGAGCGGUUUAUGUUGGCUUUGUGGGAACUGCUCUCAAGUGCAUUACAUUCAUCUUCUAAAGUAGCUAACCCAUCUUUGUGCUGGCUAAUUUUCAAGUACUUCACAGCCAACCACCUUGCUGAUGGUGAUUUCGCAGAGUUUGAACUUGAAAUUUCAAACUUGGAAAAAAAUACACGAAGAUCAUAUAUAUGAUUGUUUCCAGAAUAUCAUGCAGUUAUCUCGUCCUCAAAUGAACCAUUUUUUACAAAAAAGGACUUUAUCCUACAAUUACUACCAACUUAAAAAAAGGACUUCAUGUUACUAUUAUUAAUUGGAGGGUGGACACUCUAGAAAAACAAAGAAAUCUUAGAAAUUCUCACAAAAAGUCAAAAUAUCUAGCCAUCAAUCAGUAUGCUCAAAUCAUCAUAGCCAUUGGAUCUAUUUAUGUUUUCUAAAAAAUUACCCAUGUAUGCCAUUAUGAAAAUAGCCUAAAGUAACCCCCUAAAUCCAUGUAUAAAUUACCCACCUCUUCCAUCAUAUAAAAUAAACUAAAUAACCCCCUAAGCUUCAUUUAAAUUACCCACUUAUACCAUUAUAAACAAUGUUUCAAAUAACCCCCUAAAUUUUCAACUAAAUUGCCCACCACUAAUACUUAAAAAAUAACUUAGAGUAACCCUUAAAUUUGCAUGUAUAUUACUCACAUAUGACAUUAUUAAAAAUAACAUGAGGUAACCCUACUUUUGAAUCCAAAUCACCUUAAUUAAAAAUAUAUACCAAAUAUAUGAUUCUAAAUCAUUUAUUUCUUACACUUUGGUAUAUGAUAUAAUAAUUAAGGUAACCCUACUUUCGAAUCCAAAUCACCUUAAUUGAAAUAUAUACCAAUAUAUGAUUCUAACUCAUUUAGUUUUUAUGCUAUUGAUAUAUGAUAUAAUAAUUAAGGUAUAUACAUGUGAUGUGUGUGACCAUUUAUGAAGAUAUAGAGGAAAUGAUGAGAAUAUAGAUUUAUAUGUUAAAUUUGCAACUAAAUUUCCCACCACUAAUAGUGAAAAAAUAACUUAAAAAUAAAUUAAAGUGACCCCUUAAAUUUGCAUCUAUAUUACCCACAUAUGUCAUUAUUAAAAAAUAACAUGAGGUAACCCUACUUUUGAAUCCAAAUCACCUUAAUUACAAAUAUAUACUAAUAUAUGAUUCUAAAUUAUUUAUUUUUUACACUAUUGAUAUAUGAUAUAAUAAUUAAGGUAUAUACGCAUGAUGUGUGUCACCAUUUAUAUAAAUAUAGAGGAAGUGAUGACAACUUAUGGUCGGUAUGUGUCAUCGGUACGCGGUUGAGUUAACAUUAUGGCUUAAACUUAUGAUCCAUAGAUAAAUUCAAGCACAUACCGACGAUGCAAAUUGAAAAGUUAAUAAUUAUAAAUGUGGAUGAAAUAUUAUAGAGUAAUUACUAACUAAAAUCUAUCACAAUUAGAUGAAGAUAAUAAGUAUAUAUCUAUAUAAGCAUUGUGUUAGGAUAUUUAACAAAUGAGAGGUAGCUUAAGGUAAUAGUUUCGUAACAAUGGGGCUACAUUUUUUCCAUUGGAGAUUCCGCAUUAGUUCUCACGAGACACGCUAGGAAAAAAUCCUAGAAAUUCUCACUAAAAUCAAAAACAUCAAACAUCAAUCGUGUAAACUCUAAUAAUCAUAGUCAUUGGUCUAUAAUAUUUUAUAAAAGGUUACCUACCAAACAUAUUCUAAAAUAAACUCUAAUCCUAUAUCUAAAUUAUCGAGCUCUGUAAUUAUUAAAAACUAAUCUUAAGUAACCCCAUAAUCUUCAUCCAAUUUACUUAUGCAUAUCAUGAUAAAGUAUAACUUAAAAUGUUACUCUAAAUUUGUAUCUAAGUUACCCACGUAUGUUCUUAUUAAAAUAACCUAAAGUAAAUACCUAAAUCUUAAUCUAAUUAUCUUCAUGUGCAUCAUUCAAAAAAGUCCAAAAGUAAACAUGAUGAGUGUCAUUGUUAAUAUAGAAAUAUUAAGUUAAGGUAUAUACGCACGAUGAGUGUCACCAUGUAGACAAUCUUUACAUGUAUGUGGAGAUGCGAUACAAAAUGAACAAAAAAGUGUGAAUGUAGAUAAAAAGUGUAUAGAGUAAUUAAUAAUUAAAAAUAAUGAUAAGACAAAGAUAAGUAUACAUGUAUAUAAGAGUUAUGUUGAAAUAUUGAAAAAACUAAGAGAGUAGUAGGUAAACAAUUUCGAUUAUUAAUUAGGAGCUCAAUUUUUAAAUAAUUUUCAAAUAUGAUAAUUUUUUUAAAAUAUUAUCCCGUGCAGGAGCACGGGUUGAUGGACUAGGACAACUAAGGCUGAUCACUAGAUAUUUCUCCAAUUGAAACGGUGUUCAACAUCUGCAAAACCCUGCAAAGCACGGCAUUGUACAGACUAUUUUUAUCCAGAUUGGAUACAAAUUGACUUGACCAGCUCGCUACCCUAUCAAAGAUAACCUAUGAACGAAUCAUGCACACACACAUACAUUCUGGAAGCGCCAUCAUCACAAAGGUCCAAAUCGGAUCUGGAAUCGAAAAUCCAGCACCGUAGACCAUUCCUCGAGCUGAAUUUUAUCAUCAUCGAAACCACACGAGACGUCGCACAUCAGCCUGGAAUAUCUCUGUCCGGUUCUGAUGAAAAGUACUUUGGGAUUCGAGGCUGGACACGCCGCUACAAUCUUUGUCCAGCUCAGACGGCGACGCCGGCGCUGGGAGAGAAGAUGGAAACUGAAAAGUGGCAGUAACUGGCGAGUUUGACGGACUCAGGGUCUUCGCCCAACGGCGGUCAAGCUGAGAUAAGGUGUCUCAAUACGAGUGUGUGGAUGAUAACGGUGACGUAAAACUGCUUUUUAAACCCCUGGGGCCUCAGCCAGUUGAGCAUCCAGCUCAUAAUUCCAGUUCAAACACCCACUAGCAAGCAAAUAGAAGCAGAUUAGAAAGGCUGACGCACAGCAGAGGUACCAUACUCUCUCCCUCCCUUCCCUCCCUCCUGAUGGUUUUAACUAUCCUCUUUAUGCUGUUACCUUUUUAAGAUGGUUUUAGCUAGUUACUUGCUGCAACUCUGUAUGGUUUCUCAAAACUAGUACCCCUCCGUAGGUCAUUUUAAGUUUUUUUAUUUUUAUAGAUAUUAUCUAUGAAUUAUCUAUGAACAUAAAAAAUCAAAACCAUCUAUAAUUUGAAACGAAGGGAGUACUUCUUAGAAUUAGCUCUGGUUACAGCAUGAGCUUACGCUGCGUAAUUCAUCUAGUAGUACUUUAUACGCUGCCAAGUUUAUGCUUUAAUUUUGCAGGUGACAAUUAAUAUGCUCCUCAUGCGUCACUCGAUGUUGCUGGCGAAACUCGCCGUGCUUAUCGUAUUGCCUUUUUUGCUGCUGUGUUAUGGAGUUGGCAACGUUUACUGCUCGACAAUUCAUGAGAAUAGAGAAGAUCUGCGCUCAUUGCUCGACUUUAAGAAGCGGAUCAGUUCUGAUCCAAAUGGAGCCUUGAUGAGCAAUUGGACAACCAACACCCAUUUCUGCCAGUGGAAUGGUGUUAACUGCACUUCCACACCACCAUAUCGCGUCAGAGAGCUCAUCCUCACCGGGCUAAACUUGGGUGGCGAAAUAUCCUCCUCUCUUGGAAAUCUGACCUCCCUUAAUUAUCUUGAUCUAUCCAAUAAUAGCUUUCAUGGUCCCAUACCUCUUCUUAACAAACUCCAAAACCUAGAGUACCUUUUAUUAGGAAGCAACCUUUUGCAAGGUGUUAUUCCCGACGCACUUACAAAUUGUUCUAAUUUAGUUACACUAGAUCUCUCUGGAAACAACCUCAACGGUCUCAUUCCUCCUAGAAUAAGCUUUCUUACCAAACUAGCAUAUAUCAAACUUUACAGUAAUCAUGUCACUGGGGAGAUACCAGCAUCCCUCAGAAACAUCACAAAUUUACAACU